rnacentral:lncRNA from 1 species
ACUUUACCUUUUACCAUGGGACUUGUAACCGUCACUUCUGUCUUGAGUGAUUAAAAGAUAGAACAGUCUAGUCAAGUGCCAUGUCUCUUAUUCUUGAUUAGCUAUAGCUCUGGUGUUUUUGCAGAUUUUCAAACAAAACUCAGAGAUUCCUUGUAUGAUUCUCUCAAAUCUCUCUUUUGUGGUAUUUUUGGAUCCUUACCAAAGCAGUGAUGGUAUAUGCCUUCUCUCAAUAUAUGUGGUAUUUGUGGUAUAAAGCAUAGUGACAUUGCCUUCUCUCUCACCCUACUCUAAUAAGGCUUUAAUAUCUGGAGCUCAUAGGCGGGAGAUAAAAUAUACAUACUUACAAGACAUUUAUUGUAUACUCAAACCAUGGAUCCAAAGAAACAAAUCAAUAAGUCAAAUCAAGAUGUGCAUGUGUGGCGAAUGAAUGGCGUAUGGUGAUAAUAAUGGUGAAAGUCUAAUUCUACUUUUGCUCUUUGAGGGGAUACAUACCUUCCUUGCUUUUUGAAACAUUUUGAGGAGAAUGAGAUGCUCUUCUUUUUUUUCUUUCUCUCAGGUGGGUAUCUUGUACCCCUAAUUCUACUGUCGGACACUUGUCCAUUUUUACCUCUCGUCUCACUUUUUCUUUUCUUCCGAGGUUCCGGGCACUUGUCCCUUUUUAUUUCCUCGUAUCUUUUCUUUUCUUCUUUUUUUUAGAGCACUCAUCUCUUGAGAUAAUAUAGCAAGUGGUAGUAACAAGAUUACUUGAGCAUUUAUUUCACAAGGGAAAACAGAAAUAUUUUUGGCUAUUCUCUCCCGGAUUAGGAGUAAAAUAUUUUUUUGGGUGAUUCUAGAGAUGGAAAUGGAUGGAUAUUUGUGGAUGGUACUUCUGGCGUAGAAGCAACAUAUGUGAGUGAACGUGCAAGUGAAAUUUUGAUUUAACCACAUGACAAGCUCCUGAGGGUCUACACAGCUUGACCACACUCAAUGCUCAUAAGCAGUAAAUAGUAAAUGUGUGGCUCAAAAUCUAGCAAGCAUGUAUAUAUGGCUGUGGUAGGAAUUUAAACUCUCAUCAUACAGCAACUCAUCAUGAAAUAUUUUAAAGAUUUUCAAAGAUAAAAUUCUCCAGAAUUCUAGCAUCUCUAGGAACAGAUAAACAGGAGCUCAACCUUCCCAUAUCAUAUCCGUUAACAACUUAGACUUCAGAUCAAUUUUUCUUCCCACAAGUUUAGGUUUAGAGCAAGCUUUAAAUUAUAACAGUUAUGUCUAAACUUGAGAGAGAAUUUCAAAAUUUAAAGAUUAGGCAGAGCAACUAUUCAUCAUAUCCAUGCUUGAGUUUUAUUUUUAAGAUUCAGAUUAGCAUAGCCACUUUAUUUAUUUAUUAAACACACUAAGCAAAAGGCAAAUAUAUAAGCAUAAAAUCUUUAUUUGUUUUUCCAUAAUUAUGUAUAUCUAUAUUUUAAUAUAGUAUAAGUAUAAAGGUAGAUAGAAAUACUUAUCGGGAUAAAUGAGGGUGCUCUCCCCCAAGCUGAAUUUUGACGUAAUUUCUCUUGAUGUAGCUAGCAGGUGGCAGAGGUGUGUUUGAAAGUCGGCAGCAUCCUUAGAGCGAUUAGAAUGUCCUCCGUCUGCUAGUCUUCUUGAUUCUUGAAUUCUGUGGAGCUCAAAUGGACAACAAAGCUUGUGGAACUGAUUAAGUGUUAGCAUAAAUAUCUAGCCUUUAUCAUGUUGAGACUUCUUAAUAAUUAUUACUCCCUAUUUUUAUAUUUUCAUUUUAUAAUGCAGAAAAUAAAUUUUUAUUUUAUUUUUAUGCCACCACAGUGAAUGUACUUAUGGGUUUUAUGCCACUCGUAUUCUCACAUGGGGCUUACUGUUUUUUAACAUUUUUAUUUUCUUUUUAGGAUAGUAUAAAUAUAACUAAUUAAGUAAACUAUUUUAAAUAAUUGAAAGGGAAAGGAUAACUACCAAGUUUACCUCUUGGCAAGGCGUUCGGUGUUUUUAAGUCCUCCGAACGGGACUCUCCGUUUUCUAGUUGUCGUGGAAUUUGUUGGGUGGCGUAGUCGGUACUUCCGACGGCGCCUCCUCUUCAUAUAUGGUUAUCUUCUCUUUCCACACUUGACUCGGUGCUACGGUCUCCUCUGGAUAAUUAUGUUUAAACUCUACGUCUUCUGACCUUACCACUUCUCCUUCGUAGUCUGCCCAUCCGUCCUUGAUGAUUUCCCUCCUCUGGUUGCGGUUGCGUCGUUUUCUGACCUGCUUAGAUUCUUCAACGAUAUAGUUAGGGUCAGUAAAAUAGGGCGUACCUUCUCUGAGGGGAAGUGCAUAUGGACUUCUCUGGUUCCAAUGUAGAUGAUUGCUUUAACGGUGCUGAGGAACGGUCUUCCAAGGAUGAUGGGUGGAUCGUAUUCAUCUUCUCCCAUGUCAAUAACCUGAAAGUCUGUGUAGACAAAAUGAUCGUCUAUUUUGACUGGGACAUCAGUUACUGUUCCUUUAACUUCUCGAAAUGUCUGAUCUACCAUCUAGAGCUGAAUGUAUGUUGGUUUUAGGGGCAUGGUUCCGAACAAGAGCCGAUAGGUGACUGCGGCCAUUAUGUUGACGCCCGAUCCGGUGUCACAAGUCGUCUUGUAGAAGUUGUAUCCAUUUAUGGAGCAAUAGAUGCUUGGCAUUCUUGGGUCGUCCUUCUUGGUCAGAAACGGUGACUUAAGUUGGUGAUCUUGGCCUCCAUGAACUGCAGUGACCAUCUUAGCUGACUCGGUCCACACUUGCUUGUUCCUGUUCCUCCUGUUGGUCCUCUUCCUUGAUUCACGUCUGGAUUGAUCUGGAAUUUGUGUAGUCUUGUUUUUGAAGGAAAACGUCUCCUUCCUCCCUUUGAUGUAGAAACUGAUCUUGGCAGCACUAGCGUAGAUGACAGCUUCCGAGGUGUUUAAGAAUGGCCUCCCUAAGAUGAUGGGUGCUCUCUCAUCAUUACCGGUCUCUAUCACCACGAAGUCUGCUAGGGCAUACAAGGUACCAACUCGGACACAAAGGUUCUUCAAUAUUCCUUUUGGAAAACUUAAUGCCUGAUCUGCAAACUGCAAACACAAGGUUGUCUCUAAUAAAGGAUAUGUAAAGAAUUUUUUAUAGAGUACCCUGGGUAUAAUGUUGACGCUGGAGCCAAAGUCACAGAGUGCUUCUGGGACGUCCACCAUGCCGAUGGAGAUCGGGAUGACAGGGCGUCCUGGAUCGCCUCUCUUGACCGGCAGAAGGUCAGUAGUAACUUCAGUGACGGGGUUACUCCAAUUACCUGCAUCAAACAUGUUUACAAGAUUUGCAGAUUCUAAUCCUUCCGGUUGUGAUGGUAUACCGGGGUUAGUAGUAGGAACAGCAGCAGCUAUUUGAUUUAACUGAGAUUCAAUCAUUUUAUUAAAGCUAAUUUGAUUCUUGAUGGCAGUAGAGAAAUUAUCCAUUCUAUUAUUUAUAUUUUCUAGCAUUUUAUCAUUAGAUGCCAAUUUCUUAGAUAGAUUAUCCAUUAGCUUUCCUUGAUUAGACACUAACUCUCUCAAAGGUGGAAAAUUAUUAUUAUUGUUGUAGGAAUUGUUACCUUGAUAAUUACCUGAGUAGUUAGGCCUCUGUUGAUUCCAACCUUGAUUUUGUUGAGGACGGUUGUAGUAGUUAUUGUUGUUGUUGUUGUUGAUGUAGUUCACUUCCUCAAGUAUCUCAGGGCAGUGAUUGCCUCAGUGUCCAGUAUCUCCACACUCCUCACAAGUCAUGUGAGAGUCGUAGAUGUGCAUAACUUCUUUCUUAUCUCCAGCUCUAUCGUCGAGCUUCUUCAUGAGUAGGUCUAGCUUUACAGACAGCAUGUCUACCUCCUUGAGCUGAUGCAUACCUCCACCUUUCUUGCGUGUCUGGGUCCUUUCUUCAUUCCAACCUUGAUUGGACGCCAUCUUCUCCACAAGAGCUGUGGCUUGUGAUAUGGUAAGUGAUAAGAAUGCUCCCCCAGCUGCAGCAUCCAUGGUUUCUCGGGCACUGUUGCCGAGCCCAUGAUAAAACGUCUGCAUUAGUAGCUAGCUCUCCAUUCCAUGAUGGGGACAUUCUAGGAUGUAGUCUUGAAAGUGCUCCCAUGCUUCUAGAACAGAUUCGUCAUGUUGUUGCUGAAAACUUGUAAUCUUCCCACGGAGAGCAUUGGUCUUGCCCAUGGGAAAGAACUUAGCUAGGAAGUUUGUUGAGCAGAGUGCCCACGUAGUAUUCUUCUCCUUUGUAGCGUAGAACCACUGCUUCGCUCUCCCUAAUAGUGAGAAUGGGAAGAGGCGAAGUAGUAUAGCAUCUCUGGGGACUCUUGAUAUGGUGAAUGUGCUGCAUAUCUCCAGGAAGUGUUGGAGAUGAGCACUAGCAUCCUCGUGUGCCUUCCCAUAGAACUGGUUGGAUUGCACCAUGUUGAUAAGUCCAGGCUUGAGCUCAAAGUUGCCAUCGAUCUCUACAGCAGGUCCAGUGCGGAUGUUGUCCGUAGUGGGAGCUGAGAACUCGCAGAUUGAUUUGUUCGCCAUGGCUUCGAACUCUCAAGACAAGUUCCGGUGAUCUUCUUGAUUGGAUGAAGCUUCUUGCUGAAGUGUUGAUGAUCUCUUCUUGAGCUUAGCUCUUGUUUUUCUGAAUAAGGCUUCGGGAUUGUCAACAAAAUUUCCUGGAAGAUGUCUUCUAUUCAUACAUUCCCCUGCAUAAGAUAAAAUAGAAAAAAUAUCGGGGUAAAACUGUAUGAGAGAAUUAAUAAGCUCAAUCAUAUUAGUGAUGCGAAUGAUACCUCAAAAUCCUUUAUUCAUUCCUGAUUAGUAAUCAACCUUCCCCGGCAACGGCGCUAAAAAUGCUUCUUGGGUAUUCUUAACAUCAUUACCAAAAGUAGACAGUUUUCUAAAUCUGAUAACGGUGCCAAAAAUGCCAAACCUAUCCCUCAUACCACUUAAGCCAAGUUGUCAUCCCCAGCAUGAUAUAAGAGACGCGGUAUUGAAAUAUGCAAUUGCUCUUCUAAAUAAAAAAUGAAUGGGAUCUGCAAACGCACAGAUUAAUACCGAUGUAGCAUUUUAACCGGGAAGUAUUCCAGGUAUCGUUAUUUAUAUUUUUACCACUGGGAAGGGAUUAGCAAUCAUCAAUAUUGAUUACAGAAUAGAAUAUGAGAUUGAGUAUCUAUCAUUGCAUAUAUAAUUGAGAACAUUGUGUCUAACUCUUUCAUACAGGGAUAAGUGUCACAUAAAAGAUAUAUGAAGUAAUGAAUAGUGACAAAGAUAAUUAAUCUGAUCAGCAUAACUAGCCACAUAAUAAAUAUGAUAAGCACCUUAAUUAGAUACUCUAGAAAGUCAUUAGCAUGGUAUUAGAACGAACUACAAGAAUACUUCCUAAGUUAUUCUUAACUAUAUAGUCUAGCAUUAUCAUAGUUAGUGCAAGCAUACUUAGCAAUCAUUGCGAGACAAGACUACGCCCAUGCAUAGUGAUAUUAGCAAGGUAAAUGAGAAACAUAGCAAUCACUCCCCUGUAAGAUAUUGCUCUACCAGCCCAAUACACGAGAGGGGGACUAUAUAAGAAUCAAUGAAGUUGUCACUAUCACGAACUACCCCACGAUCUGGCAUAUUGGGUACAAUCGCAGAUAAAUACGGUACAAGCACCACGCCAACACAAUAUUUGUCAUUUACCCAUGGAUCCGAUGGAUAAACGCUAUACGAUCCUAAGCAUGUAUAUAGAUCCAAUCUAACUAAGCCAAGUAUAUAACUAUGAUAAACUAAGAACAAUAUAAUCUUGAAUAUAAACAAGUAGAGCAAAGUCAUAAGAAAUAUAUUGAAGUAGAACAAAGUCAUAUUCACAAUAUUGAAGAACAAAGAUGAUUAGAAGAACAAUUAGAAGCACAAUUAGAGAAUUACCAAGAAUCCUCUUGAUAGAUCCGAAAACCAAUCGAAGUUUGACUCCUUCUAGUUCUAAUCCUAUGUAGCUAUGCUAAUCUAGAUAUCUAAUUGAUGUGGUGGCUCUAAUCUUGAUCAGAGGCUUCUUCUCCCUUGAAGAAUAAUGAAUUAGGGUUGAGAGGCUCUCUCCUCCAGGGGCCAGGGGGUCUGGUUUUAUAGUCCCUUCAAGUAUAUAUGGGCCGUUGGAUCAAACCGACAUUGAUUGAACGGUUAUCCUUGAUCCUUUAGGUCGGUGGAGAUCUCUCCCGAGAGAGAGUCCUGUUUGGACUCCAACAGGAGGCGGGCGCCCAGGGCAACUGGGCGGGCACCUAGUGCCUGGCCCCGUUCGGCCUCCGCUUCGUUCCCGUGGCUUUUGGAUUCUUCUAGAUGUAAGAUAAUUCGCGGCACGUUAAUAUCUCUAUGUAAUCCCGACGUGUGGGCCUUUCUUCCGUAUUUCCUGAUAACCCCUGCAGAAAUAGACAAACACCAAAACUCGUGGAAUUCUGUCAGAUAAAACCCUAAGUCUAGAUGUUGAUUUCAUUUGGAUCCUUUUCUUUGUUUAUUUGAUAAUUAAAUUUUAUAGUUAAGGACCAUCAACACUCUAAUAUGAAGGUAAGGGUUUUCGUCUUCCUUUCCCGAAAAAGAUAGGUUUUGAAUCAUGGCAAUCAACCUCAAACUUAACCUAUACUGGGAUGUUUGGAUAGGCUGUGAUGACUCCCAUGGUAAAAGGUCAGUUUCCAAAGGUGUUGCAAAUUGAUAGAUCGAUUUAGAAUCUUAGUUUUCCAUAAGGUAAGAGUUAAGAAAAUAAAGAAUAUAAAAAGAUAAGAAAAGAUAAAAGUAUGAAUACAAGCUAGUAGUAAGACUCAAGGUUAUCUCAGCAAACUGUCUUUCUCCCUGGCAACGGCGCCAGAAAUGCUUGUUGAUAUUUGGUAACGCAAUCAGGAAUUGAUCGUAAGCGCACGGAUAUCGGUGAGCACUUCACUCGGAAGGUUAUCCAGAGUAUCGUAUUUAUAUUUUUACCACUAGGAGAAAGUGUGCAUCUGACUAACCAAAUCUAUUACUACUAACCUUUAGGCUACAACCAUUAUGAUUUGAUGUGAGCGAUGUAUAGAGAAGACAACAACUAUACCCUCGUUCUAACCUUGGUAAGGAUGAUCUACUGCUCUAUUGGGGAGGCUUACGGAAUCUAGACACCACAGAGGAUAUUCGAUCCGCACCUUUAAACCCUAUCGAUCCUACUAACGGGAUUAUGGGCUACAAAGGUAGCUACGGAAAUGUCACGUUCCUCGCUACUACCACGAUCCGGCUAGACAGAGGAUAUCUAUGAGUAUCCUAGCCCAAACACCACGUUUACGCUAGAGAUGAUUACUCUAAACUCUAUGCGAAGAGAUCAAAGUAAACUCAUAAACUAAAGAACAAUAAAACAAAGAACUUACUAGAAUUUAGAAGUUGAAAUACUGAAGAAUCCUAGGAGCAAGCCUCGGGUUAGGAGACUUGAUCCUGUAGGUACAACCUCGGAGUAGACACCGACAGGCCAGGCUUCCUCUGAUCUACACCUCCACUCUAUCUCUCUCAAUCUAGAAGAACUAAGUCUAAUCUCACAUUGGAUGCUAAGCCCUAUGACGUUGGAACCCUAAGGAACCUCUCUCUGAAUCCUCUCUGGAAAAUAUGCCAAUGAAUAAUGGAGAUUGCCCCCUCCAGGGGCCAGGGGUCCUGCUUAUAUAGCCCCCUCAAGUGAAUCUGGGCCGUCGGAUCAAACCGACCUUAAUCGAACAGUUUUCCUUAAUCCUUAGAGGCUGUGGAGCAUAAUCCGCAUGAUGGAGCCUGAUUGGCUGCCUGGCUAGGGUGGGCGCCCAGGGGGGUAGGGCGGGUGCCCUGCCUGUGGGCCCGCUCGGCCUCCUGCUCACUCGUGUUGCUUCUAGACUCUUCUAGAUCGAGGAAAAUUGGCGCACAAGUUAAUAUCUCUAUGUAAACCCGACGUGUGGGCCUUUCCUCUAUAUUUCCUGAUAACCCCCUGCAGAAAUAGAUAAACAGCAAAACUCAUGGAAUUCUGUCAGAUCAAACCCUAAUUCUAGGUGUUGCUUGCAUAUAGGUCCUUUUCCUUAUUCAUUUGAUGAUUAAAAUUGAUACUUAAGAACCGUCAACACCCACCGCUCGUCGGCAACCACAUGGCGUGUGCCCCACGGAGGGAGAGUGUAGACAUGCUGGGCCAAAAAAGGGGAGGACGACCCCAAUGCCUCUCCCUCCAUUUUUUUAAAUUUUCUUUUUCUAACUCUUUUUAAAUACAUUUUUGAGCAUUUUGCAGAUAGUUUUAAAAGUUGGACCAAAAAUAAAAGUUGUUCCAAAAUAAAUUCUCUAGAACUUUCUUUAAAGUGUAAUUCAAGAUUCCAAUUGGAUUUUAAGCUGUAGAUUUAAACUUAAUUCUAGGUUUGAAUAAAACCUUUUUAUUAAUUUGAAUUUGAAUCCUUUUUCAACGGAACUUGCUCCAAAAAUAACAUUUUGAAAGUUUUCUAAAUUCACUUAGACACUAAAUGAUCACAAGCAAGCAUCAUAAACAAGAUUAAAACCAUAGCACCACUAUCAUAGCAAUUUAAAUUAAUUCUUAAGUAACACAUGAAAUAAUCAUCAAGUUGUUAAAUGUUAUGCAUGAGAUGGUGCUUGAAGCUCAAACUAAGAUGUUUAUGUUAAGUUGAUGAAGCCCUAAUGCAUACUUAACACUACGGGUGUUAUAGCCCCUAUUCUCUGGCAAAAGUUUUUAAAAUUUCAAAAGAAAGAUAAGUUUUCGAGGAGCAAAGUAGAAUUAGGUUAGCCACCAUAUAUACCAUAUAUUCAUGCACAUGCACAUCUUGAUUUGAUUUAUGACUUAACUCUCUUUGGAUCCAUUGUUUGACUUUAUAAUAUAUGAUUUGCUUGUAGGCUCUAGCUUUCUCCCUACCUAUGAACUCCACAUAAAGCCCUAGUAAUAGAAAAAGAAAAGGUAUAACAUCUUUAUUGCCUUGGUGAGGAUAAACAAAUAUCACAUAUAUUGAGACACUUGAGAGUGUUAUACAAUAGACUCUGUAAGUUUUAUUUUUUAAAACUUAUAAAAACUCCAAAACUGUAGUGAAACAAAGAACUUGACAUAGUGCUUGACUUGAUUGUUCUAUCUUUCAAUUGCUCAAGACCUAAGUGAAAGUUGAAAAGUCGUUGAUAGUAAUAUGAGUAAGUUUGAAAGUUAGAGCAGUUUUGUCUAAUAUAGAGGAGAAUUUUGUUUGAAAGUAUGUGUACUUUUUAGGUGUGAAAGCAUUGAAGCAACUCCUGACCCAAGUUUGCUAAGUUUAAGUUUAAGUUUGCUAAGGAACUAGAAAAUGGUUAGCUUACGGGAGCUUGUUGACGGUAGUUAAUGUCAACAUUUAUAGUCAAAUAAACAUGCAUAGCGACAUAUUCGAAAUCACCAAUAAGGAUUUAGGUACACCCUAGUCUUAAGCAUGAAUUAAGGUCUCAUAAACUUGACAUAAGAAUUUGUGCAUAAGCAUUAAGCAUUAUCAUGUCAUGGCAUUUCAUGUUGAUUGAGUAUUGUUUCAUGUGUAUAAUUUUAAGUGUUUAAAAGAAUUGUUAAAUAAGCAUGUUAUGCCUAAAAAUAGUUGUGAUGAUUGAUUAAGGUUUUUGAAUGCUUCAAAUAAUUUUAGAAACUAGAACUAAGUUCAGGGUUAAAAAUAGUUGUGAUGAUUGAUAAAGAUUUUUUAAUGCCUAAAUUUUUGGAGCAAUUGGUUUGAAAAGGGGAUUUAAAUUCAAAUUUUAUAAAAGGUUUAUUUCAAAACCUAGAAAUAGUUCAAGGUUGUAAUUCAAAACCUAUUGAGAAUUUUGAGUUGCACCUUAAAGCAAAGUUGUAGAGAAUUUAAUUUUGAACAACUUUUAUUUUUAGGUUAACUCCUGAAAUUGUCUAGAAAAUACUCUAAAUUCCAUUUGAAAUUAAUUUAAAAAAGAAAUUCAAAAAAUAUAUAGAAAAGGGCCGCUUUGUGAAGUGGGUCGAGGGCUUCACUUCUCGGCCCACCCCGCUCCCCACAUCCCGCAUGAGCGGCGCCUGGUGCUGGCAGGCCACACCCGUCGUGUGGCCGCCAUGCGUGCUAGCGAGCACACCGCGUCAACAACGGUUGGCCAGUGACCUAGACGGUGCACACACUCACCUCGCCUCCCUCUCCGCAUUAACCUGUGCUUGCCCUCGCUCUCCAUAGCCAUGCCAUUCUACCAUCGUGAGCUCCACUGCUCACCGCUACCUCCCACUCUUGCUCUCACAUGACGACGACGCCACCUCGAGCUCUGUCUUGACCUCCUGCGUCGCGUGUGCACGCUCUACCGUCAAGAUAAGCACUGUAGAGGCUGGGAUUACCUCGCUAGAGUUGCAAGGGCUUACUGGAGUCUUUGGGUCCCAUGGCAGACUCUCGUAUCCCCCUCUCCUUCUCGACAUUUGCAUGUGUUAGCUUCGCCUCAUCACCAUGAACCUCUCCCGCUCCUCUGCACGCGCUGUCGUGGGCGGAGAUGGCUGGUCGCCAAAGAGCAAUGCCGCCGCUCGACCAUUCGUGGCGAGGAGCUCGCUUCUGAGCUCCUCCGGCCACCUCGAGGGCACCAAUUGGUGCGCCUCACCAUGAAGAGCACGUUGGUGCCAACCCCAUGGCCGGGGACUUCAUCGGCGGUGAUCUCCACUCGCCAGAGCUCUCCUUUCUCUAUACCACUGAUGGGUGGGGCCAAAGACCCACUUGUCUGCCUCCAUGUGUGUCUGCAUGUUGUUGACAGUUGUUAACCAUCAAAAUUAUAUGUCAACUAAAGAGAAGAAAAGGGAUAAAAACUGAACAUCACCAUAGACUUAGAGUUUUUACUUACAAUUUCCAUGAGUUUUGGGAAUGUCUGUUUUUGUAGGGGUUAUCGGAAUAAGAACAAAAGGAGGUCCACAUGUUGGAUUUUCAUAGUGAGAAGACCCGAACGUCAACUCCAGAAGACUCUAGAAGACUCAAGAAGGCGUGCCCUAAAACCUGGGGCCCACCUACCAUAGGGCAGGGGCGGGCACCUAGGGGGGCAGGGGUGGCCGCCCGAAGACCUUGGCCAAUCACAGCCAGUCUUAUGGAUCCUGCCUCCACCGACUUUAAGGAUUAAUCUUAAGGCAUGUUUAAGUCGGUUUGAUCUAAGGGCUAUGGUGCUUCCUAAGGGGCUAUAAAUACAAGCCUACCUCCCUGUAAUCAAGCUCAGAAUUGAGAGAGAAAAACAUAAUUAUAUUUUUAUUCUCAUCUGAGAAUUAGAGGGAGCCAUUAGAGCUAGGGAUAGAGAUAGAUUAGCUACUCCUAAUAUUCAUCUUCUACAUAUGAUUAAAUUAGAUAGAGGAAGAGUCGGGCGCCUGUGCUCAGAAUUUCUAGAUCUUCAUCAUUAGAGAUUGGUAUUAUCUUUUAUCUCUCUUUUGACUUUAUUCUAAAUAUCAUUAUGUUUCUAUUUUUUAUGUUCCUAGUUUAUUCUAGUUCUACAUUUGAUAUGGUUAUGAUUGAUAAUGAGUUUAUGUAUAUGUUUGCAAAGCGCUUAGCCCUCUUCACAGGAGAGUUAGGUGAUAGAUGUCAUGUAAGCAUGGUGCUUAGAUGUCGUUUAUCUGCAAUUACACCCUAUUGGCCGGGUUGCGUGGUAGAUCACAUAAGUGACAGUUCCGUUGAGUCCUUUGUAUUCCAUCCCCCGUUGGUAGGACAGGUAGAACCACAGUUGCGUAGGAGAUCCAACUUUGUCUUGGCUUUUUAUAGCAAUGUUCCUUAUACAUAAAUGAAGAGUCUUUUGUGCUAUAUAUGAUAGUGUAGCAUUAGAGUAGAUUAAUGACUUGAUAAAUUAGAACUACAUAGGACUUUCUAUCUCUUGAACUAAUCAGACGUCUGCCUAAUAUUAAGUUGAGUAGUCUAAAUCUAGUCUCUAUAUUCCCUGGGCUUCUAUAUUUUAUAUGUCAUAUAUCUAUGGUUUACCCUCUUGCCAAGUAUGUGACUAUGCAACCCAAUCACUCAUAAGUAGCCAUGUUUUGCAAGUUGAUCUCAUUGUUAAGUCCUUAAUUCUUUCCCUUGAGCUAAAUAUAAAUAAGAUACCUGGAAUACUUCCUGGUGAAGUGCUACAAUGGUAUUUAAUCUGUACGCUUGUGGAUCUUAUAUUUAUUUUAUUAGUAGACACUUUUUAUACCACACUUCUGGCGCCAUGCUAGGGAUGACAACUUAGCUUAAGUGGUGUUAGAAGUGUCAAUAAGCAUUUCUGGCACCGUUGCCGGGAAAGGAAUAAACUUUUAGAGAAAAAUUACCUAAACAGAUACUUAAUAAAUGAGUAGGUAGCUUGCUAGUCACCUCUACUUGGCAGGUUUACCCCUAUUUGUUUUUUCUGUGUUUAUAUUUUUAUACAGGGUAAUAGCAGGAUUAAAUCUAAUUCACUCAAUUCUUUAUCUGAAUUGGAUCAAUCAAGAAGGAAGCUCAUCACUAGUAUUUGAAGCGAUGGCUGAAAAGACCUUGUGGGAGUUCUCUGCUCUAACAGUGGAGAACAUCCGCAAUGGUCAAGUACAGAGAAUAGAAAAUCUGGAGUUUGAGCUCAAGCCAAGCCUCAUCAACAUGGUGGAAGCUAUCCAAUAUAGUGGAAAGGCGAAUGAAGACGCAAGUACACAUCUGUAGGACUUCAUGGAGAUUGGAAACACCAUCGUCAUAGAAAGAGUUAAUCAAUAUAUCAUACUACUUCGCCUCUUUCCAUUUUCACUAGUGGGAAGAGUGAAGCAAUGGUUCUAUGCCAACAAAGAAGACAUCAACACAUGGGUGAAGUGUUCCAAGGCCUUUCUAGCAAAAUUCUUCCCAAUAGGCAAGACAAACGCUUUAAGAGGAAAGAUUACCAACUUCCAACAGCAGAAGACAGAAACCAUUUCAGAAGCAUGUGAGCAUUUGCAAGGAUACAUUCAAGAUUGUCCUCAUUAUGGAAUGGAAGAAUGGUUACUCAUGCAAGGCUUUUAUCAUGGAUUAAAUCAAAAGACACAUGAGCACCUAGAUGCCACCGCUAAAGGAUCAUUCUUAUCACUCACUCUUGGGAAAGCUAAGGAGCUUAUGGAGAAGAUAUCAGAAAAUCAAAGCUGGUCCCAAGACAAAGGUGAAGAAGCAAUUGAAGAAGUAAAUGCACUGUCCACCAAGAUGGAUGAAUUGCUCCACUAGCUAGACCAGAGGGCCAAGUACAAGGAAGACCAAAGAGCGAUUGAAGCAAUAUCUAAAUCAAAUUCAAGUUCCGCCGUCAAGAAAGUUCCACAUCAACCAAAUUGGAGACAACAUCAAAAUAGCCAAGGUAUGAACUCAGGUAAUUUUACAAAGCAACCUUCUUUAAGAGAGAUAAUUAUGCAGCAAUCUAAAAUCAAUCUAGACAUUAAAGCUAGGCUUGCUAAUAAUGAUAAAACCUUGGAAGAUAUAAAUGUUAAUAUGGAUAGUUUCACAUCCGCCAUUAAUGACCAACUUGAGUAUAAUAAAAAGAUAGAAGGAAAAAUAGCACAGUUGGCUGCUCUGUUGCCUAUUGCCACUAACCCUGAUCAGGUAAAGAAUAUCACUACAAGGAGAGGGAUUUCUACCAAAGAUCCUCCCUACCUAGAAGGUACCAAAAGACUAGUGGUAAUACCAUCAACAUUACCAACAAUGGUGGAGAAUGAGAACAACAUUCCUAAAGACAUACUACCAGAACCGGUCCAAGACCACGAGAUGAGACAAGAUUUCCAAUACACCAAUUAUCUACCAUUUCCUUGUCGAAAUAGAAGACCACAACAAGUAGAUGAUCAGUUUGGUAAGUUCAUGGAGGUACUUCAAAAACUAUAUAUCAAUAUACCUCUGCUAGAUGCCAUACAUGUCCCUACAUAUGCCAAGUACAUCAGAGACAUUCUUAAUAAGAAGAGACCACUACCAUCCACUGAAGUAAUCAAGCUUAGAGAAGAGUGUAGUGCGGCCAUCCUCAAUAAGUUACCAGAAAAGAAAAAAGAUUCAGGAUGUCCGACCAUCAAAUGUACAAUUGGAGAUCAACAUUUUAACCAUGCACUUUGUGACCUUGGAGCAAGUGUCAGUGUGAUGCCCGCUUCUGUCUACUACAAGCUUAAUCACACCACACUUGAGCCAACAUCAAUGUGUCUUCAGCUGGUCGAUCAAUCAGUCCGAUAUCCAUUGGGCAUCGCCGAAGAUAUUCUAGUCAAGAUAAGAGACUUCUUCAUGCCAGUAGAUUUUGUGGAUAUGCAUCCAGACUCAAGAAUGUCACUCAUUCUCGGGAGACCAUUCUUGAGCACUGCCAAUGCACACAUUGAUGUCGGGAAAGGAUCUAUCAAAUUCACCAUCAACGGUCAAGAAGAGCAGUUCACAUUCAAGCCAAAAUAAGAGCUCAACUCUUCUAUGAAGAUGGUAGAUCAAGACAAGCUAGAAGAAUUACUAGAGUCACCCACUCUGGAACCAUCAGCGGAAUAAAUAAUUUGGAAGGUCCAGCUCGAAGGACACUAAACUUCGAACCAUCACCGGAAGGUAACUUGGUAUUUACCCCUACGUAUUUUUUAUAAAUAAUUUUUUUGGUGUGUAACAACCUAUUAAAAAUAUUUAUUGUGGUGGCAUAAAAAGAUUAAUUUAGUUUACAUAUUUAUUCUUAGCUUAUUCUCAUUUUUAAUUCCUGCAUUAUAUUUAUAUUUCUUACAUGGGGGGUCCACCACCAUGGGUCCCACAUGUCAUAGACCUCACCUAACAUACAUCAUAUCACCACCUACUCUCCUCCACUCACCCUCCUCUUUUCCACUGACUAAAUCCACCAAAUGUCCACUCACUUUGUUUAGGAUUGAAGCAAAGUUUUUAGCCACAAAAUUUGAGUGGAGAAGCUGCCACCACAUGGGCGGCCGCCCCACCUCCUAUGGGUGCCCGCCUAGCCAUCUCCUCCUUUAUAAAAGGGCUUCUUCCCUUCACUUCUUCACACCACACACAAGCCAUAUCAGUAGACAAACUUUGAGCUCUCUGCCUCCAAUAGUCUAGAGAGAGUUUGUGAGAGAAGGAGAGAUUAGAAAGAGUAGAAAAGAGGAUAGAAAUUUGGGAUUAAGAAAUCUAAAAUCUUUGAGUAGGGAUUAAGAAAUCUAAAAUCAAUGGGAGGUUCUUUUAAAAUUCAAACUAGCAACUAGACUUAAUCUUUAAAGAACGACUGACCUAUGGACGGCUGACCACUAACCUUUGACUAACCUCUUGCACUAGUGUUGUUUUUGUCUGUAAGCAUUUGUUGCAGGAUGAAGAGCUAGGCAAAGGGAAUCGCCAACAAGGUCUUAGGAAUGACCACGAGGAGCUCAUCCCGCUACGCCUCAUCAAGGGGUAGCUCCAACAUGAGCACCGAUUCUCCCACCGACUCUCAGCCACCAUCUUUCUCUACUGCACAAAGGGUUCUCCUCACGGCAACUCACCUUGCCUUGAUGGAUGCAAGAGAAAAGAACAUCUAAGAUAAAUUGAAGAGCAGGAACUUCAUCCACACAAUGGUCCUGGAUGACGUGUUCCUCUGUGAAACAGGUAUGGCAACUAAACUUGACACUAUUUUCUAGUUUGUUGGUUGGAGUUCUUUUGCAUCUAUCACCGAGUUAGGGUCAAAGCCUUUAACCAAAGAAUUUCUAUGCACCCUUCAACUCACCUAGACAGGAGUUUAUUUUAGAUUGUUUACUCAAGAGUUCUAUUUAACAUGGAGAGUUCUUAGCGAUCUUUUAGGCUUUCCUUCAAAUGCAUGAUUAGAUUUAACAGAAGCCUUAAAAGAUUUUGACACCCAUAAAUUCUGGGUGGAAAUUUCCAAGGAACCUUUCUUCCAUGGCAAUUGUACUCGGGACAUAGAGCACCCUACACUUAGGUUCUUGCAUAAGUGGUUAGGUGUAGCUUUCUUCCCUCGAGAUGAUGCUAGUAAAAUUAGAGCUAUAGAUUUGCAAUUAAUUUAUGAAGCAGUAAAGAAAAUAAGGGUGUCGCCUGUCCAUGCUUUAGUAGAUCAUUGGUUAAGCAUUCCUGAAGUAGGAGAUGUAGCAAUUUGCUCCAUUGUUACUCGUUUAGGUGUUAAGCUAAAGUUACUUGAAGGUUCCUCUUUGGAUUUUAUUGAUGCACAUAGACAAAUUUAUGGAUACAAACAUUUUAAUCAUGCGCACCUUGUAAAGAACAUAAAAGGGGAUCUAUAUAUGAAAUAUGGGGACGCCAAGCUCCGGUUACCUAACCCAAAGAUGGCAUUGUAUUCUGUCCAAACUCUGUACAUUGAAUUUCAGGCACGACCAGUGAAUAGGAGAGGAGCUCAGGGGUAGACUUCUAAGAGGGCACCUCAGAGGACAGCCUUUGAGAGAUUUGCUCAUCAACACGAGCCAGUUUGGCUCGGUGCUGACCCCACUCACGAAGCACCGGCGCACACAGCUAUGAUGAAGGGCAGGCACGCCAGCGCCGCACAAUGAAUCCUAGGAUGUAUCCUCCGUUCCAUCCUACCUACCAUCCAUAUGGGUACUAUCCACCACCACCAUUCAUCCCCACAGGAGAAGGUCCCUCAAGUGAAGCUCCAAGGCAUUCAUUCAGCACCUAUGGAGAAAGGACAGAAGACGAGGAACAAGGCUUUGAGCAAGGACGAAGGUGUGGUGCUUUUGGUUUCUUCUAUACCCAGCAACAUUACAAUGAACAAAUGGCAUUCCAAAACUACGUCUACACCUCUCUUGCUAACAAUGAGUAGAGUUGGAAUGACCAGCGUCAAUGGAACCAAACCACCACUCAGACGUUGGCCUCUGUUCAAGAAGGGCAAGACCAAGCUAACAUCACUCUAAGUGACAUCUUCGCACUCCUCCAGAUCCCGAAAGAAGACUAGCUUGGGGGAGGACCCCCAUUAUCAAGGUAAGUUUUCUUUUUCCUUUGUUUCGAUUUAUUUCCUUUCUCUUUAUUAGUUAUAAAUUUAAUUUGUUGUUUAAUUUGUUUAAGUUUGAGUUUGCUUAAAAAUGAAAACCAAAUAAAAAGAGUGUGUAAUAUAUGUAUGCUUUAUUAAGUUUGCUAUAAAUAAAAUGUGUACAAAUGAAGAAGGCAUGAUGGAAAUGAUGAAUAGUUGCUCUGCCUUAAUUCUUUUCAAGUACCUAGUUUUAGAUUUGAAUUCUCCCAAGGAUUGGAUAAACUAUUAGACAACUAAAUUUACUCUACUAUUUAAACCUAUGGGAGCAUAUGCUUAAACUAAGUCUAGGUAGUUGAUGGAUAUGAUAUGAUAUAGUCUGAGCUGCUAUUUAUCAUGUUCCUAGUGCUACUAAAUUCUGGAGAUUUAUUUUAUGAAAAUUAAAAUACUUCAUGAUGAGUUCUUUGUAUGAUAGAGAGUAUAAAAUUCCUACCACAACCAUAUUUAUUUAGAAUAGGAAGCCUCCACAUAUAUGUAGGGCUUUGUGUUUGCUCGAGCUGUGUGACCCUUAGGAACUCAUCAUGUGACUAAUCCUGGUAUCACGUACACUCAUGUUCACCUUUUGCUGCUUCUACUCUAGAAGUACGCACCACAUACAUAUAUUCCAUAUUCACCUAUCCAAAAAUGUUCCACUCUUACACUGAGAGUGAACACUAAAAGUAUUUCUCUUGCUUAUUUGCUAGCCAAUUAUCUUAAGUUCAAUGCUCCAAGUAUUAUCUCUUAUUUCUCUACAAAAUAUUAUUUACAAAAAAAAUUGAUGGGCUGCAAGAAAAUUAAUGGACAAAAGUAACAUGAAAGACCCCUAGCUUUAUGGCCACACGAUGUUCCUUGGUGCUUUCACUUGACUAUUUUCAUAAAAACUACUACGCCUAAGGCUAAAUAUUUGUGAAAAUUUGAGGGUUUGAGAGAGGUCACUCAUACCAGUUUCAACUGGUGUUUAUUUGAGUCUUCUUGAAGUUGGAACUUGGUUGGGUAAAAGUCGGACGAAGUUCUAAGUUGAAAAGGUUAGAGGUGCACCGGACGAUGCACCGGACGCUCCUGUAGUGCGUCCGGUGUGGUGAGUCUGCUGGACAGCACUCACCGGACGCUGGAACAGUGUCCUCAUAGCGUCCGGUGACGUGCGUCCGGUGUUCUGCCAGGCCUGCCCUAAGGCACCGGACGCUAAGUCCAGCGUCCGGUGGCCAUCGUUUGGUGGAUGGGUUAUUUGCGGAACUCUCUGAGUUUAAGACCGAUGGUCACCGGACGCGUCCGAUGCCACUUUAAGACCGUCCGGUGACCCCGCGGUCAGUGGAUAUAACCCCCGAGACCCGCUCUGUUCGGCAGUUCUUUUUCUUCUCUCCCCGCGACCUCGCCCAGCAGAAGCCAGCGCCCCCAUGCCCUAAUUCGUCGCCGCCGCUGUGUUCUCCGAGUUUCCUCCGGCAAAAGUUGUUUUUCCCCGUGCCAAGAUCUUCCCCAAGGGUUCCUCCAUCCUCUCCUCGUGUAGGGGCCUUCUUCUCGCGUGAAGGUUAGGGUUUGGGGUGAGUUGGUUGAACCCUGCCCUCAAGGUGUUCGAUUCAAUGCCUAAACGAAGUUAGAUGUUUUCGACAAUGUUCCCCUUUGUUUAUCCUUCAUAGCACCUUGAGGAGUCGAUUCGUGUUCUCCGGUGGAUUGCGAUCGAGAUCUUUCGUCCGGAACGCGUCUCGUCAUUGGAUUGUAUGUUGUUCGCACCCGUUCCUUAUCUAUUCUUGCGAUCUAUAGGUUUUUCUCAUCUCUAGUUAUUAUGUUUGCUUAUGUAUACCCUAUCUUUUCUAUCUCUUGCAGUGCGUUGGUCUCUUUUGGUAGUUUGAUAGUUGCAGUUGAACUCAGGGCCAAGCCCACGAGUACGGAUUGAGGCCAAGCCUCACGAGUGUCAGCUUGUUGGUUGUCAGUAGUUUCUCUGUUUAGGUUCUUGCAAUGGCACGUUGCAAGAACGUCGGUGGUCCGACAGCCGCAGGUGGUGCCUCUCCAGGAGGUGAUGGUGGAGGUGAUCCUCCCCAUCGCUUGUCAGCCGUAGAGAAGGGCAAAGGCAAGAAGCUGGCCACCAAGAAGAGGAAGGCCAGUGACAGAGAGGCAGAGGUGGCCGAGGCAGUGGCAGCAGCAGCUGAGGUAGCAGAGAGGGGUGGACGGUCAGGUGCCCUAAGGAUCGGGGCCGAUCUCACGCCAUAGCAGAGGCAUGCAGUUCUUCAGGUUGAGGCGCGACACAGGACUCCACCUAGCACCAUCAUGCUAGGGGGUCAGCGUGUUCGCAUUGACGUCACUGAGCCAGCACAGGAGGAGACAGAGGUAGAGGCCCAGGCAGAGGGCCCUACUGAGGCUCAGCAGGAGGAGCAGCCCCUCAGGAGGUCGACUCGCACUCAUACUCAGGUCGUCUCUAGGACUGGUACACAGGGUCAGUCCACCUCCUCUGCUCGCUCCACUCCAGCACGUGGCACUCUAGCACCAUGUCCGGCUCCAGUCAGGAUUCAUAAGGACUAUACCCAGGCCUUCGCUCGAGAGAUCUAGGAGAUGAGAUUUGCUCUUUUUCCUACUUGGUUUCCAGCUACCUGGGAUCAGAGGGCCAGUGCCAGAUUUUACACAAUUGUUCAGGAGGAUAUGUAUGAGGCAUUUGUUCAUUCGGAGACUCAGUUCAGGGAGCACAGGGUGCUUGACCUUGAGGUGCUUGGGAACAUGGUCGGUGCAGAUAUCAGACAUUAUUUUACCUACCUGACCGGUCUCCCAGGCUUGCUUGCUUUACCAGGUACCUAUUGUGAGGAGUGGGUACGGGAGUUCUAUGCCUCAGUGUGGGUUGCUCCAGACCAUAGCUACAUCCACUAUGCACUGGCAGGCACAGACUAUAGUGUGACACCUCAGAGGGCCAGAGAGGUUCUGGAUUGACUGCUUCUGCUACUAGGAUUCAUUAGCUGUGCUAUGGGAACUUUGAGCCCCCUCGACGACCUCACGGUGGUGCUCUACCACCGGUUGACUUCGUGGCUCCCUGUUUCCAUCAGCCCUUUGGAGAGGGCUCCAGCAAGAUAGUGGGCGAUUUGACACGCCCAGCAAGGAUUCUUGACUUUGUGUUAAGGAAGACUUUCCCAGGAUAGGCUACAGAGAUGGCUUCACCAGGAUCCAGCAGUGGUUGGUCGCUCAUCUAAUUGCUCAGCAGCCGUUUGAUUUGUGGGACUUAGAAGUGUCAGAGAUUGAGGACACUAUAGCAGAGAGCUUCAGGGGUCGUCGUCAGUUGUUGUACGCAUAUUGGAUCACUCUUCUUAUUCUUCGUGCUAGGCUUGAGCCUCUGCCAGCUCACCUUCAGAGAGAGCUAAGAGACUCUGACACAGUGUUCCCCCACUACAACCCCCGAUAGAUGCUGAGAGCGCAUUAUGACCUCAGAGCUCCACCACCUCCUCCAGCACCACGUGGCCAGGUGCCACCACCUUCACCAAGGGCUACCCAUAGUUUAGGGGCAGUCCCAGAGACAGAGUAGGAGCAGGAUAUAGCCAUCGGGGUAGUUGUAGACGCUGAGGCCGAGGAGGAGUUCGACUUUGCUUCAGAUAGCUCAGACAAUGACUAUUGUCUCCCUAUUCUAGAUCUUCCUCUGAGGCCGCACGACCAUGAGGCAGGAGGUUCUUCGAGUGCUACGAACCUAGCUCUGCUUGCUAUUUUAGAGGGGAUGAGAGCCUGUAAUAGAACCGACCAAAUUAUAAGAGAUUAAGCCUGAUAGUGACCAUUUGCACAGUCAAACUACCGAGCUUAAGCCCAUAUAAUCCCGGUAGUCUGUGAAAUCUCGAAGGAUUUCAAACCACAACUCGUACAUACAGCCAAGAUCGUAAUAAGUUCAGCGGUCACCAUUCACAAUUACAUCCAGUUCACAACAUUCAUCAAAUACAUCGGAGUACUUAAAGUUAUUACAAACCAAGUUCUCAAGUAGCGGAAGCUUCAUAGUUCGAAAGUAACACACACAUGUUUAGUUUGAUACAGUGCCAUAGUUCGGUCAUUCCCACAAAAGCAAAAGGGAAGGUAGAGUGACCAUCGCCCUUGGUCUAGUCAUCGCCAUUGCUGGGUACAAGCAGAGGAUGCAAUGACUAUAGUACAUUUGACCAUCUGCAAAACAACAUGGGAAAUAGAACCCUGAGUACCAGAAUGUACUCAGCUAGACUUACCUGUCAUAAACCAAAAAUAAAGACUCUUCAAGGAUCAUGAAGGCUGUAUGGUGGGGUAGCUGAGACUUUUUGCAUAAAAGCAUUAUUCCACUAAAACAUAGCCUAGAGACCAUUCUUCUUUUAAUUAGCUCAAGUUUGAUCAUAUCAUUACCUAUUAUCUAGGUUUGCACCUGUACUAUUGCAAACAAGUGUAGUAAUAUGAUAGUACCUCAUCAUAGCAUUCAUAAAUCAUUUAUCAACGUAACCCAAGUGUUCCAUAGUCCUUACUACGAGGACAAGGCUCAUGUCAAGUGCUCACUAUCCAGGAGCGAUGGCGAUUCGAAUCGAUUUCUGACCAGCUGGCGAGUUAUUCCCCACACAAACCACACUCACUGAUCAAGUGAGCUACAGAUCACCGUGUUACACUAUCCAGGACCAAAUCGUGGGUUCGGCAGGCACCGCCAGUACCCGAGGACCGUUCCGACGACCGAGGUAUCCAAGGUAUACCAAGGUUGCACGCCGCGCCCUCGUCGUUCUCCUCAACCAUCACCAAUACAGCACAUGGCGGCUUGACUCCCGGCUCGGAUAGUGUUCAGGCUUCGCGGUCGGAACGACUUAUCCUUCCAGCUAAGUGUUGGGCAUGCGUUCAACAUGACAAGAGGGCCGUCAACGAUCGGUCCUUAAUCAACACAGGCAGGGGCACUACGGUCAUCCCCACCAUAAGACCCUGCCCGGUCUCAAGUUCAUUCCCACACUUGUUUACUUUUCCUCAAAGCAUUAUCAGCUAGUCAAACAGGUGUCCACCUAUAUCUCGCAGGUGACAAGGAAUCACCCGACUUCUACCGGACUAAGCAAGCUAAGCAUGGACUCCGUGCCUAUCUACAUAGGACAAGGUAGAUAAACAAGUGGUAAUAUCAAGGAGUACUUAUGCAUCAACGGUAUCAAGCAAUUCCUAUCACUUAAAUGCAACAUAGUAGAACAACCAUAAUAUAUCAUUUAAGUUAGCGAGAAUAGGGAGACUUAGAAUGCUCCGGGGCUUGCCUUUCUCAAACGUGCUCGGCUUGUGAUCCGGGCACUCCUGCAACUCUUCUCCGGGCUCUGGUCCUCCAAGAAGUUCCUGCUCCUGGGUCUCCUCCUGCUCCUCGGGUCCCACCUUGUUCUCCUACGAGCCUGUAUGAUGCAGGUGUGCUCAUGAGUGGAGUGCGAGAUGCCCGGGUGCAAUGCUUAUACAAGUGGAUACCAGAUGACCAUGACAUGAUGCAUAGAUGAUAUAAGUGGUCACUUUUACAAGGUAGUCAACAUCAUCCAAGAACAAGUAAUCGAACUAAGCAUCUAUUGCAUUCUCUUCUACAAGUUGUCUUCAUGGUUAACCAACAAGCUAACAUGAUGCUUCAAAGAUAUACCAAACAAUCUUUUAUUCUAUCUGAUUCAUACACGAAAAUUCUUAUUUUAUUUACUCACUUUUGGACCUACAAAAGUAGCAUAUAUCUCUGUUUAACAAUAAAUUCUACAAAAAUUACAGUAGACUACUAGUCAAUCAUAAAGUCUACCAUAAUUUUUUUCAUAAUAUUUGGACAUUUAUUUUGGGAUACAAAAAUUACAAGAUUAAUCUAUAUAAUUAAGUAUAAUUACCCUACUGUUGUGUAAGUGUCAAACAUCAGAUUUCAUAUUUUUAUAAUGUACUUAUUAUCAUAAGAAACACCCACAAACAGCAAAUUUUUAGAUUAAUUGCAUGAUCCAAUUAUUUAUUAAAAAUCGUAAACCACUGCCAUGCAAGCAUUUAAAUCACCAUAAAUUAAUUCAUACAGCAAAUAAUGUGUAACAUAAUUUUCCCAGAGACUAAUCAUCCAUGCAAAGCCAGCAAAACAAGUUUCAUAUUUUUCUGAGCUAUAUUUUAAUUACUAUGCAUUUUCCAAAUUUCAGCAAAAACAUGGAUUAAAUAUAUUUGUACAGAAAAGUUGUUCAAACAUGACAUGCAACCACACCAAACUGUAGAUCUGGAAUUAUAGAACACAUCAAAAUUUAUUUCAUCAAUUUUGGAGCUAUAUAUCUCAAGAUAUGGAUUUUAUAUCAUUUAAACUAUUUUCUGGAAAAUAUUUUCUGAAAAACCAAUUCAAAUCCACCCCCGGGACCAGCUGGGUGCACCCGGUGCAGUGCACCCGCGGCCACUGACGAGCGGACCCGUCUGCCAGCCGGGCCCGCUAGCCAGAACACAGAGAGAGGGGGAAGGUCCCCGUCGACGGCUUGCCGCCGGUGACGCCUCCCGGCCGAAACCAAAGGUACCAACGCGUUCGUCUCCCUCUUGCGACUCGAUCCCACCCCACCACUUGCUCUAAGACCUAGCACAGCAAGCUGGCCACCGGCAAUGGCGGACCGGCGGCGCUGCCGCAGCGGUGCCGGCCACCACACUCCGGUAGAGCACGCUAGAGCGGCUUCUAGCGACUUGGGGAACCACGGCGACCACGGUGCGCGCACUAGCGAGGCAAGAGAGGGCCAAGAGAGGGAGAGCCAGGGAUACCGACGCCGCGGAGAGCUCCGGCGAGGCCGCGCAAUCUCCAGCGAGCGAUUCGGUCUCCUAGGAAGGCUAACCUGUGCGAAGAAGGCACAUCCGAGCACGUGGAGACAAAUGCGGAGCUCGGAGAGGUGGAAGGAUGCGCUAGGAGGCAACAAGGUGCCGGGAACAACGCGAAGGGAGCUUGGGGAGCUCCGAUGGUGGGCGGCGGUGCGGUGCACGUGGAGCGGAGGCGAGAGAGCGGGAGAGAGAGCGAGAGAGCGCGCACGGGUGGGAGGCGAGAAUGGCGAGUGCGCUAGCGCUGUCCACAGCGGAGGGGGAGGUCGUGGCGCCGGCGAGCCGCGCAUGCCGUCCACGCGGCGCCGUCGGCCUGACACGGUCGGGCGCGCGCGCGGCGCGGCCGUGUCCGAGCGCGGGGAGGGGGAGUGGACGCGGCGCAGGGAGGCCUGGGCUGGCUUCGCUGGCUGGGCCGGUUGGUUGGCGCCGGCCCUCCAGUGAACAGCCCCCUUUUCCUUUUUUUUAAAAAUUAUUUUCCCAAAAAGCUUAGAUGAAACUUUUGAAGCUUUUGCAAAACUUUUCAGGGGUUGGAGUAAAAAGAAGAAUCACUCCCCACAAAAUUCCCUACAACUUUGCUUUAAUAGGUGAAGUCAAAUUCCAAAUAGAAUUUGAAUCACAAAUUAAAACUUGUUCUAGGUUUUCAAUAAAUUCAUUGUAGAGAUUUUUGGUAUAAAUUUCAUUUCUCAAUUUCUAUAGCUCCAAAAAAUUUCACAAAAUUACUCUUAAAUCUUCUAACCCUUAUUUCAACCUAAUUUGGGCAAUUCAAGAAUUUAGAAGCAAGCAUAAUAUUUUUACCAUAUUUAAUUCACAUAAAAUAAAGCACAUAAAAUCACACUUGAAUGAAUGACAUGCUCAUGUGAUGCUAUGCUUGCUGAGAAUGCUUAUGAAUGAGUUUAUGAGACUAAGUGCAUGCUUAACACCUAGGGUGUUACAACCCUUCCCCCCUUAGAGAAAUCUCGUCCCGAGAUUUUGGGUUACUAACCAUUUCUUAUGAAAUUUUGGAUAAACUAUUUUUAGGUAAUCCUCGGUUUCCCAGGUGGCAUACCUAUCAUCAUGAUGACUCCACACCACCUUAUAUGUUUUGACAAAUAUGUUCCAGGUUACCGCUCCUUGGUAUCUACGAUACCCACUAGCUGCUCCUUAUAUUCUAAGUCUGCCUUUAGUUUGAUUCCUCGGGGUUCAAUCCUUUGCUCAGGCACCUUUAAACAUUUUCGUAGCUGCGACACAUAGAAAACUGGAAAGAUCGAGCUCAACUCCUCUGGUAACUGAAUCUUGUAGGCCACAGGGCCUUUUCUUUCUAAUAUCUGAUGCGGUCUCACAUAUCUGGGGGCAAGCUUGUUUCGAACUCGGAAACGCUGAACUUUCUUCAUUGGCAUAACCUUGAGGUAAACAUAGUCACCUACAUUGAACUCAAGUGGCCAUCUUCUCUUGUCGGCAUAGCUCUUCUGUCAUGAUUGUGCUGCUCUCAUGUGUUGUUGUAUAAUGUGCACCUUUUUCUCAGCCUCGUUUACGAAGUCGAUACCAUAGUAUCUCCUUUCACCAGGUUCGACCCAGUUCAACGGAGUCCUACACUUACGACCAUACAACGCUUCGAACGGGGCCAUCUUGAUACUCUCUUGAUAGCUAUUAUUGUACGAGAAUUCAGCCAAAGGUAACCAUGAUUCCCAUGGUCCCUUGGAUGAUAACACACAAGCCCUCAGCAUAUCUUCGAGUACUUGAUUGAGUCUUUCCAUUUGACCCGAGGUUUGUGGAUGAUACGCUGUGCUUCUUAUCAGACUAGUCCCCAAACUCUUAUGCAUUCGCUCCCAGAAAUGAGUGGUGAAUUGUGGUCCUCGGUCUGAUAUGAUGGUCUUGGGAAUGCCAUGCAACUUAACAAUCUCAGCUAGGUACAAAUCAACAUACUCGGGAGGUCUAUAACGAGUCUUAACAGGAAUGAAAUGAGCUGACUUGGUCAAUCGGUCUAUGAUUACCCAAAUCAAGUCAUUCCCCUUUCGUGUUGUCGGUAAACCUGUGAUAAAGUUCAUACUGACCUCUGCCCAUUUCCACUCUGGAACUGGCAACGGUUGCAACAGACCUGCAGGUUUCAUAUGUAUAGCCUUGACUCUGCAACAUGUGUCGCAACGGGCCCCAUACGCUGCUAUCUCUUUCUUCAUUUUGGUCCACCAAAAGUUAGACCUUAGGUCUUGAUACAUCUUGCUACUGCCAGGAUGAAUAGAAAGCUUGGAGAGAUGUGCUUCAUCCAUAAUGCGGUUCUUUAAUUCUCGAUUCUUCGGGACUACCAGCCGGUGCUGAAACCACAAUACCCCUUUUUCAUCAACUCGGAACUGAGUCUUCGAAUCGUCUUUGAUCUUCUCUUUGAUGUGGAAAAUACCCUUGUCUGUUUUAUGACCUUCAAUGACUUGACUUUCAAGUGAACAAUUGAGCUGUAUGUGACAUAAGACUUCAGGAUGCAUGAGAUUGAAACCAUCUUCAAACAACGGUUGAACAACUUGGUAGUGCGGUUUGCGACUCAAAGCGUCUGCUACCACAUUAGCCUUGCCCGGAUGAUAAUGGACCUCUAGAUCGUAAUCCUUGAUCAGCUCUAACCAUCUUCGUUGCCUCAUAUUCAGCUCGGACUGAGUGAAGAUGUAUUUCAGACUUUUAUGAUCUGUGUAGAUAUGACACUUGUUUCCCAGCAAAUAGUGCCUCCAGAUCUUCAACGCGUGCACUACUACUGCUAACUCAAGGUCGUGAGUCGGGUAGUUGACCUCAUGCUUUCUCAACUGUCAUGAAGCAUAAGCUAUAACUCUGCCGUCUUGCAUUAGCACACAUCCUAAACCACUUUUCGAUGCGUCGCAAAACACAUCAAAAGGCUUCUUGAUAUUGGGUUGUGCCAGAACGGGAGCGGUGGUCAGCAACUUUCGCAAGGUGCGGAAGGCUAGUUCACACCCUUCCAUCCAGACAAACUUAGGAUCCUUUUGCAGCAAGCUGGUCAUUGGCUUAGCAAUCUUGGAAAAGUCGGGUAUGAAACGAUGGUAAUACCCGGCUAGGCCAAGAAAGCUUCGAACUUCCGAGACAGAAGUUGGUGCCCUCCAGUCCAUGACUUCCUGUACCUUUGACGGAUCCACAACAAUCCCUUCUUCAGACAGAAUAUGCCCUAGGAAAGGAACUUUCUUCAGCCAGAACUCACACUUGCUGAACUUUGCAUACAACUGAUGCUCUCGCAGUCGUGUUAGCACGACUCUUAGAUGCUCGGCGUGAUCUUGUUCAUUCUCUGAAUAAACCAGAAUGUCAUCGAUGAACACCACCACAAACUUGUCUAACUUUGGCAUAAAGACAGAGUUCAUCAGAUACAUAAAGUAUGCAGGAGCAUUUGUCAACCCAAAGGACAUGACAAGAUACUCAUACAACCCAUAUCUGGUGGAAAAAGCAGUCGUCGGGAUAUCUUGCGGACGGAUCUUGAUUUGGUGAUACCCGGACCUCAAAUCUAUCUUAGAAAAUACUUUUGCCUUGGACAACUGAUCAAACAAAAUAUCAAUCCUUGGCAAUGGAUACUUAUUUUUGACUGUCACCGCAUUGAGUGGACGAUAGUCCACGCACAUGCGCAACGAUUGAUCCUUCUUUUUCACAAACAACGCCGGACAACCCCUUUCCAACGAACUUGGCCGGAUGAAUCCUUUAUCUGGCAACUCCUUUAGUUGAUUCUUCAAUUCAGCAAGCUCAUUAGGCGGCAUUCGGUACGGCCUUCUAGAUAUCGGUGCGGUACCUGGUAUCAACUCUAUUGCAAACUCUACUUCCCUAUAUGGGGGAAGUCCUGGCAAUUCCUUAGGAAAAGCAUCAGGAAACUCACACACCACUGGGAUCUAUGGCAGAGGAACCACGUGCGUAGCAGAAGAGAUGCUAGCAAAGUCAAAGCGAUGGGGCAGAGGUACUUGAAAAGAUCCACUGCCCUGGGGUUCUCUGAGAGAUAAUACCCUCUUCCCAGUAUCUAUGGCAGCAUCCCACUCUUUCAUCCAGUUCAUGCCCAUGAUAACAUCUAAAACUAACCCAGGCAUGACUAUCAGAUUAACAUGAAACACCCUGUUACUUAUAUCCAGGGUUGCCCCUCGAACCACUCUAUUUGUCAACACAUCUACCCCUGCUGAGCUGAUGCGAUAGCCAUAACCCAGAUCUGUAACUGCUUGGUUAUGCUUUUGUGCAAAUGCUUGGCUCAUGAAUGAAUGCGAUGAUCCAGAAUCAAACAAAACAACUGCAAGAUGUUGGUUGACAGGAAACAUACCAGUUGUUACCGGUUCUCCUUCCGAGAUCUCCUGUAUCGAGGUAUGGUGCACUCGAGCUGGGUAGGUUGUCUGCUGCCUCUUGGGGUAGGGACAUUCCUUGGCAAAGUACCCCAUCUUGUGGCAAUUAUAGCACGGUCCCUUGGUCAUGUUGUUGGCGGCAGGUGCUGCAGCUUGAAUUGCCUUUGGCUUGGCGGGAGCUAUUGCUACUUUGUACGGCUUCUGCUACGUUGGCUGCCCUAUGUUCCUUCUCUGCGGCGGUCGAAACCUAGCACCUGGGGCAGGAGGACGAUACUGCUGUCGCCCUGCCACCGGUGCCCUGGGCUGGGACGAUCCAGCUUCAAAAGCCCUCUUGCGAGAUUUGGAUGCACUAUAGUUGUUGUUAUUGUUUUCCUAGGUCAAACAGUCACUGAUGUAGGCAUUGAAGGUAGCCCGGGCUCCUGUACCCAUGGUCUUCAGCAUUUUUGGGCUCAAACCUCUCUGGAAACUAGCGAUCUUCUUGGCCUCCGUGUUCACAUACUCGGGGGCGUAACGAGCAAGAUUGUUAAAAGCGUGUAGAUACUCCUUCAUAGACUUUGUUCCCUGGGAUAGCCUCAUGAACUCCCCAACCUUCAUUUCCACCACACCCGGAGGAAUGUAAUUUCCCCGGAAGGCGGUGGUGAAGCGGUUCCAGUUGAUAGGGGUUCCCUCUGGGUAGGUGGUACGGUGAUGGGACCACCAAAUCCCAGCCGGUCCCUGCAACUGAUGCGCUGCAUACUCAGCCUUGAGUUCUUCAGUCAUCCGAAGAAGACGGAACUUUUGCUCCAUAGUGUUGAUCCACUCAUCUGCCUCGAGCGGUUCUAAGGCCUCCUUGAAGACUGGUGGUUUGGUAUCCAUGAAGUCCUUGAAAGAGCUGUACUGAUUGGCUUCACGGCCUCCCUGGUUAUCCCCACGGCGGGUAUUGUCAGCGAUAUUGCGCAGGGCUUCUUCCAUGUUGCGCUGCAUCUGCUCCAUGUUGCGUUGGCUCCCCAGAAACUGCACAAAAAACACGUCCGCAGUGUACGGAGGAGGUGGUGGUGGUGGCGGUGAUGGUGCUCUUUUCUCAUUCCGUUGAGCCCCACCUCCGGAAGUACCCGCUCCAAGUCCGGGGUUGCUGUUACCCCCGCCACGUGUCUGCACCAUCUGCAUGCGUCAAUGAUAAGCAGUCAUUAGGAGUUGCCAUCAAUGGUAGACAUAUGUAGAAUUAUGCCGUACUGAAUUUACUGAGGAAAAUAAAUUCGCACAAUAAACAGAGGCACAAAAAUUCAUCAUCCACACACAACAUCACUAAUGGAUUACUUAACAUUCGAGCAACAAGGUUUGCAUACAUCCAGAUUUGCCAGCAUACAUACACUGGACUUUCAGCGUCAUCACAUAAAGUUUUACAUAGCCUAGAUCCACAGAUUACAAGACAUGCCAUGUAACAACAACAUCAAAAGAAGAAAGGACUAGCUCUAGAGCUCUAGCAUCUACUCGCUAUGGUCACUGUCCAUGCCGGAGCCCUCCUCGUCCUCAUCUCCACUAGCGGCUACCUCUAUCUCUGGAUCCUCAUCCAUCUCGUCCUUAGAAUCUAGCUCAGCUGCUCUAGGCAGGUGGUGAGGGUGGAGCUGGUUAGCAGCUGGUGGAUCUCCUCAUGCAGGUUUUCAUUGUACUCCUCAGCAUUAGCUAGCUGCUGCUCAAGCUCUAGCUGUCAGGCCCUCAGGGUGUCCUCUCGUGCAAGGCUUCAUUCCUCUGACCAAGCACAUGAACUAGCAUGUGCUCACAGUUCCUAUGAGCAGUAGUCACCCUGUCCCUCUGCUCUCUCACUGCAAGCAGGUCCUGACUCAGCUCACUGUUCUUCUGGACUGCCUGAUCCCUCUCUCGGGUCAUGUGGGCCAACUCUGCCUGCAACCUCUCUACCUUAGUGUCAAACUCACGCUGCAGCUGGCGCUUCUCAUCCUGAACUGUGAGAAAAGACCCAGACAAGUGUCCCAAGCAACGCUCCAGACCCCCAUAGGUCUUCAUCAAGGCAAACAUAGCGCUCAUAGCUGUGCUGUCACUGUGCUGGUCCUCGUCCGCACUCCUCUCUAGAGCAUUCACCUUGAACUGAUCCCACACCGAAGUGUAGGGGUCACCCCGGGGAAACACCCCAGCGAAGGCGUGGGCCAGCUCCUGUGGAAACCUCUCCAUGAUGUCCCUCAGAACUGCAAAGACUGCUCUGCUGGCAUCGUGGAAAGGCAUGGAACCUCGGGACUCGUACACCCAGCCGCCCAGGCAGGGUCACCUCCACUGGUAGGGACCACUGCCUCGAUCCCCACUAGGGUCCCAUCACCAAGCUGCUCCUUGUUCCAAUAGUAGCGAGGUUCCCUUCCUUCGGGAUACCCCAUCGAACUGAGCACCCUCCAAAGCAAGGUGGGCAUCCCAAACUCCUCUAGGAACUUGCUCUUGUGACGCGAGCUCCUAGCUGCCAACUGAUGGCGAGGGGCCCGCCCACCAGUGGGACUUGCGAGCGGUGAGCCUAGUGCGUGCCAUCUGCUGAAAAUAGAAUACCUUGGGUAAGAUUGAGAAGUACCUUUUAUUAGCUUAAUUAAAAUUGGAACAGAUUUAAUUAAGGGAAGUAAGCAAUGAUAUGAAGUGAACAUGAUGCAUGCAUGAACUUACGAUCUCACAAACUUAGAAACAAAAGUAAACACUAAUCGGUAUAUGCGGUGGCACACAACGUUCUCUCAUAACGUAACUAGCGUUCUAGGCAGGAACGUGGUUAGUGUACCUGCAGAAAACUCGUUUUAGCCCAACCACAGUAUGAACAUGCAGAACAAUAAUUUAAAUCUACACACCCCACAUGCAUAGACACCACUUCCAUGCAUAUGGUGUGUUACUACCCACAUCAUCGCCCUAGUGACGGCAUCGCCUCUCAGGAUGGAAUCUCCCAACAUGCGGUACUGUUCCCAGGCACACCAAACAUGUGUGCAUGACACAGCACCUAACAACACUUCCCUAGAUCGGCAGUGUAUCCGAUCACGCUCUCACAGCUCCCACUUACCGAGGCGUAGAGGAAGAAUUGAUCCAUACAUUACCACCCAAAUGAAUGGUACUCAUACUAUUGCACGCCGUAUGAGCGACAAAAUAGAAAUAUGAUGCAUUAACCCCCAAGUCAGUACUUAACUAGCCACCUUAGAGUCCUUAACUGGGCAUAAAGGAUAUGACCUUGGCACACUAGAUAGUUUUCCAAAAACUUAGUUUGACACCUUGAUUAUCAUUAAUUAAUAAUAAUCUUUUAUUAAACCGGUUUAAGGUUAGUUAGAGCGUACUUAUGAACAAUAACUCGCUAAACCUUGCUCUGAUACCAGCUGUAACAAAACCGACCAAAUUAUAAGAGAUUAAGCCUGAUAGUGACCAUUUGCACAGUCAAACUACCGAGCUUAAGCCCAUAUAUUCCCGGUAGUCCGUAAAAUCUCGAAGGAUUUCAAACCACAACUCGUACAUACAGCCAAGAUCAUAAUAAGUUUAGCGGUCACCAUUCAUAAUUACAUCCAGUUCACAACAUUCAUCAAAUACAUCGGAGUACUUAAAGUUAUUACAAACCAAGUUCUCAAGUAGUGGAAGCUUCAUAGUUCGAAAGUAACACACACAUGUUUAGUUUGAUACAGUGCCAUAGUUCGGUCAUUCCCACAGAAGCAAAAGAGAAGGUAGAGUGACCAUCGCCCUUGGUCUAGUCAUCGCCCAUUGCUGGGUACAAGCAGAGGAUGCAAUAACCAUAGUACAUUUGACCAUCUGCAAAACAACAUGGGAAAUAGAACCCUGAGUACGAGAAUGUACUCAACAAGGAUCAUGAAGGCUGUAUGGUGGGGUAGCUGAGACUUUUUGCAUAAAAGCAUUAUUCCACUAAAACAUAGCCUAGAGACCAUUCUUCUUUUAAUUAGCUCAAGUUUGAUCAUAUCAUUACCUAUUAUCUAGGUUUGCACCUGUACUAUUGCAAACAAGUGUAGUAAUAUGAUAGUACCUCAUCAUAGCAUUCAUAAAUCAUUUAUCAAUGUAACCCAAGUGUUCCAUAGUCCUUACUACGAGGACAAGGCUCAUGUCAAGUGCUCACUAUCCAGGAGCGAUGGCGAUUCGAAUCGAUUUCUGACCAGCUGGCGAGUUAUUCUCCACACAAACCACACUCACUGAUCAAGUGAGCUACAGAUCAUCGUGUUACACUAUCCAGGACCAAAUCGUGGGUUCAGCAGGCACCGCUAAUACCCGAGGACCGUUCUGACAACCGAGGUAUCCAAGGUAUACCAAGGUUGCGCGCCGCGCCCUCGUCGUUCUCCUCAACCAUCACCAAUACAGCGCAUGGCGGCUCCACUCCCGGCUCGGAUAGUGUUCAGGCUUCGCGGUCGGAACGACUUAUCCUUCCAGCUAAGUGUGGGGCAUGCGUUCAACAUGACAAGAGGGCCGUCAACAAUCGGUCCUUAAUCAACACAGGCUGGGGCACUACGGUCAUCCCCACCAUAAGACCCUGCCCGGUCUCAAGUUCAUUCCCACACUUGUUUACUUUUCCUCAAAGCAUUAUCAGCUAGUCAAACAGGUGUCCACCUAUAUCUCGCAGGUGAUAAGGAAUCACCCGACUUCUACCGGACUAAGCAAGCUAAGCAUGGACUCUGUGCCUAUCUACAUAGGACAAGGUAGAUAAACAAGUGGUAAUAUCAAGGAGUACUUAUGCAUUAACGGUAUCAAGCAAUUCCUAUCACUUAAAUGCAACAUAGUAGAACAAGCAUAAUAUAUCAUUUAAGUUAGCAAGAAUAGGGAGACUUAGAAUGCUCCGGGGCUAGCCUUUCUCAAACAUGCUCGGCUUGUGAUCCGGGCACUCCUGCAACUCUUCUCCAGGCUCUGGUCCUCUCAGAAGUUUCUACUCCUGGGUCACCCCCUACUCCUCGGGUCCCACCUCGUUCUCCUGCGAGCCUGUAUGAUGCAGGUGUUCUUAUGAGUGGAGUGCGAGAUGCCCGGGUGCAAUGCUUAUACAAGUGGAUACCAGAUGACCAUGACAUGAUGCAUAGAUGAUAUAAGUGGUCACUUUUACAAGGUAGUCAACAUCAUCCAAGAACAAGUAAUCGAACUAAGCAUCUAUUGCAUUCUCUUCUACAAGUUGUCUUCAUGGUUAACCAGCAAGCUAACAUGAUGCUUCAAAGAUACACCAAACAAUCUUUUAUUCUAUCUCAUUCAUACACAAAAAUUCUUAUUUUAUUUACUCACUUUUGGACCUACAAAAGUAGCAUAUAUCUCUGUUUAACAAUAAAUUCCACCAAAAUUACAGUAGACUACUAGUCAAUCAUAAAGUCUACCAUAAAUUUUUCAUAAUAUUUGGACAUUUAUUUUGGGCUACAAAAAUUACAAGAUUAAUCUAUAUAAUUAAGUAUAAUUACCCUACUGUUGUGUAAGUGUCAAACAGCAAAUUUCAUAUUUUUAUAAUUUACUCAUUAUCAUAAGAAACACCCACAAAAAUUUCUAGAUUAAUUGCAUGAUCCAAUUAUUUAUUAAAAAUCAUAAACAACUUCCAUGCAAGCAUUUAAAUCAUCAUAAAUUAAUUCAUACAGCAAAUAAUUUGUAACAUAAUUUUCCCAGAGACUAAUCAUCCAUGCAGAGCCAGCAAAAUAAGUUUCAUAUUUUUCUGAGCUAUAUUUUAAUUACUAUGCAUUUUCCAAAUUUCAGCAAAAACAUGGAUUAAAUAUAUUUGUACAGAAAAGUUGUUCAAAUAUGACAUGCAACCACACCAAACUGUAGAUCUGGAAUUAAGAACACAUCAAAUUUAUUUCAUCAAUUUUGGAGCUAUAUAUCUCAAGAUAUGGAUUUUAUAUCAUUUAAACUAUUUUCUAGAAAAUAUUUUCUGAAAAACCAAUUCAAAUCCACCCCCGGGACCAGUUGGUGCACCCGGUGCAGUGCACCCGCGGCCACUGACGAGCGGACCUGCCUGCCAGCCGGGCCCGCUGGCCAGAACACAGAGAGAGGGGGAAGGUCCCCGUCGACGGCUUGCCGCCGGUGAGGCCUCCCGGCCGAAACCAAAGGUACCAACACGUUCGUCUCCCUCUUGCGACUCGAUCCCACCCCACCACUGGCUCUAAGACACAGCACAGCGAGCUGGCCACCGGCAAUGGCGGACCGGCGGUGCUGCCGCAGCGGUGCCGACCACCACAUUCCGGUAGAGCGCGCUAGAGCGGCUUCUAGCGACUCGGGGAACCACGGCGACCACGGUGCGCGCGCUAGCGAGGCAAGAGAGGGUCAAGAGAGGGAGAGCCAGGGAUACCGAUGCCGCGGAGAGCUCCGGCGAGGUCGCGCACUGGCGAGCGAUUCGGUCCCCUAGGAAGGCUCACCUGCGCGAAGAAGGCACGUCCGAGCACGCGGAGACAAAUGCGGAGCUCGGAGAGGUGGAAGAAGGCGCUGGGAGGCGACGAGGUGCCGGGAAUAAGGCGAAGGGAGCUCGGGGAGCUCCGAUGGCGGGCGGCGGUGCGGUGCGCGCGGAGCGGAGGCGAGAGAGCGGGAGAGAGAGCGAGAGAGCGCGCACGGGGGGAGGCGAGAAUGGCAAGUGCGCGGGCACUGUCCACAGCGAAGGGGGAGGUCAUGGCGUCGGCGAGCCGCGCAUGCCGUCCACGCGGCGCCGUUGGCCUGACACGGUCGGGCGCGCGCGCGGCGCGGCCGUGUCCGAGCGCGGGGAGGGGGAGUAGACGCGGCGUGGGGAGGCUUGGGCUGGCUUCGCUGGCUGGGCCGGUUGGUUGGCGCCGGCCCGCCAGUGAACAGCCCCCCUUUUCCUUUUUUUUAAAAUUAUUUUCCCAAAAAGCUUAAAUGAAACUUUUGAAGCUUUUGCAAAACUUUUCAGGGGUUGGAGUAAAAAGAAGAAUUGCUCCCCAUAAAAUUCCCUACAACUUUGCUUUAAUAGGUGAAGUCAAAUUCCAAAUAGAAUUUGAAUCACAAAUUAAAACUAGUUCUAGGUUUUCAAUAAAUUCAUUUUAGAGAUUUUUUGUAUAAAUUUCAUUUCUCAAUUUUUAUAGCUCCAAAAAAUUUCACAAAAUUACUCUUAAAUCUUCUAACCCUUAUUUUAACCUAAUUUGGGCAAUUCAAGAAUUUAGAAGCAAGCAUAAUAUUUUUACCAUAUUUAAUUCACAUAAAAUAAAGCACAUAAAAUCACACUUGAAUGAAUGACAUGCUCAUGUGAUGCUAUGCUUGAUGAGAAUGCUUAUGGAUGAGUUUAUGAGACUAAGUACAUGCUUAACACCUAGGGUGUUACAGAGCCGAUCAGUGGCGGGCAGAUGAGGAGCAGGCUAGGAGAGAUAGGGAUCAGGUUGCCAUCAAUGCAGCCAUGCAGGCCAGGCAGGACGAGCUUUAGAGAUAGCUUCUGACCUUCCAGGAGCGGCAGCUAGCGUUCUAGACACAGCAGACUGCGAUGAUGGCCGCUCUUAUGGCCGCUUCAGGGAUUUAGCUUUCUCAGAUUCACCUACCAGGCACUUCCUCGGUCAGGCCUCCUACUCCAGUGCCUCAGCCUAGCGGCUUUCAGAGUCAGUCUGAGCCGCCGCUUCAGCUCCCUGCUCAGAGUCAGCCGUUCUCGAAUCCUCAGCACCAGGUUUCUCAGGGUGCUAUUUCUUCUAGCUUUGAGCAGGUGCCUCAGUUUACCCCGCUUCACUCUAGUUUUACCCCUCAGUCAGCUACAACAUCACAACUUGUGUUGAACUCUUCGACAGGGCAGCACAUCAAAUUUUCUUACAGUGCUCUGACUGGUGACACUACGCCUUCACCUCUUUAGGAUCCUGCAGCCUUGAUGGUCCCAGUUACCACUACUGAGCGCCUAUCGUCGUCUGUGGCUUCGUCUGAGCAGCUUGCACCUUUUCCCACAGUGCUAGAGACGUCAGCCACAGCUAUUGAGUCCGUGCCAGCUUCUUCAGCAGGUCCUAAGCAGCCAGCACAACCAGUGACAGCUUCAGAGCCCACCGAGCAGACCCGGACCACUUCUCCAGCUCCAGUAGCUUCCGAGGGUCACUCUACCUCCUCCGAGUCGAUGGCCGAUGGAUCAGACGAUGCAGCGCAGUUUCAGGCUGUGCCGAGGGACUCCACUGCUCCGCCUCCACCUCAUUCGUCUUAGGUUUUUGGCGAUUGAUGCCAAAGGGGAGAGAGAGCUGAGAGUAUGGUAGUUAGGGGGAGCUAGAGCUAGCUAGUGAGGGUCUUUGAUAUUUUGUGUGCUACUUCAUGCAUCAUGUUUACUUUAUGCAUAUUUGUGUGAGAUACUCUUUAGCUUUGUGAGAUACUUUUGGUUGUGAGACAUGAAUUCUACUUAUCUGUGAUAUCUUUAUGUCAUGUAGUUGGCUCAUAUUCCUUUGCUUCCACGUUUUUACUCCGAUGUACUAUGAGCCUUAUGUGAUUAUAUCCUGUUGUAUACUUCUCACAUUUUUGGAUGCAGGAUGGUAGACUUGGUUGAUAUAAGCAUGCCUAAUCCCAUUGUGUUCUUAUUGUCUCAUGCUUAUAGAAACCAAGUCAUUUGAAAACCUCAUUUCCUUUCAUACUCGAGGUUAUUGUCAUCAAUCACCAAAAAGGGGGAGAUUGAAAGAGCAUCUAGGCCCCUAAUGAUUUUGGUGAUUAAUGACAAUGUUGAUUACUUUGACUAACGUGUGUUUGCAGAGGCAAAGUCAUUAGUGAGGUAAUGGUAAUAGGUACUCGAUGAACAGGGAUGUACAUGCCUACUUAAUAGUGGAAAUCGUUUCGGUUUUCAAAGGAUGGAUGGACAUCGUGAAGACUAGACUAGGUCUAAGUGCCAUAUGGUGAAGAAGGGCACUUAGAGCAGUUUAGGACUUUGUUUUUCUUUUGACCGUACUAUUAAGAGGGGCUUUGAUCUAGUAGCUUGAUUUAGGCAAGGCUUUAGGUUUAGGUGUGGUGCACACUUGGUAAACCUAGCACUAGGCAGCUCAGAGACAGUCCUUAGAUCGAGAGGAACAAACUUUGUUUUGGAACGGUCGUGUUUUGAUGAAGUGUGGGUGCCUAAGUAGGCACCGGACGCUGCACCGGACACUAUGUGAGUGCGUCCGGUGAGGUCGUUAGCCGUUAGAGUGCUGAGUGCCUAGGGUUAGGCAUCGGACGCUAGCACUGACAGUACAGUUAGCCGUUGAAGUGUCACCGGACGCUCGGUGCAGAGCGUCCGGUGCAAAAUCAACAGCGUCCGGUGACCCCGUUUUCAGUGUAAAACGGUUGGCCGACCCUUGGACUUUGUGGGGUGUAUUUAUACUCCUCCACCUCAUCCAUGGGGGUUCUCUUGCCCAUUUGAUCAGUUGAGAAACUCUUUGUGGAGCAAGAGAGAAGCAAGAGCCUAGAGAGGAUUGAGAUUUGAGAGAUUUCUUGCGAGAAUCCUUCUCUAGUUGAAUUCCAAGAGUCAAGUGUGCAUCCACCACUCUCUAGUGCCUUGUUUGGGUCAAGUGAGAGUUCUUUGCUUGUUACUCUUGGUGAUCGCCAUCACCUAGACGGUUCAGUGGUGAUUGGAGACACGAAGACCCCCCGGAGUUCUUGUGGGUGGCUCGUGUUAAGCUUGUGAGCGGUUUUGGGCGAUUCACUGCGACGGAGUGUCGAAGAAUCAGCCCGUAGAGAGCACUUGGUCCUCGCACGGACCAAGGGGGAGCAAGACCCUUGCGCGGGUGCUCCAACGAGGACUAGUGGAGAGUGGCGACUCUCUGAUACCUUGGCAAAGUAUCGCCGAGCAUUUUCUUCCACUACUCCUUUACUUUCUAGCAUUUACUUUGUGUUUUUACAUUCCUAGAAUGGCCUUGCUAGAAUAGGAUUUGAACUAUGUUGCAAAACUUUUGAUCCGGUAGCUCUCUAGUCACACUAGGCACAAGGGGUCUGUUGACACCAUUUUUGGGCACGUGUCUAGGAUGGCAGGAUAGGGUGGCGGUACGAUGCGGGUUGCUGAUGAGGAUGGUUGCCGAUGAGGGAGAGGUUGAAUGUGACUAAGUCCACAGGCAGUAAUAUGGUGCCGAUAGCUGGAUAAAAAGGUCUGCCGAUGAUUAUGGCAAGGGGAUUGCCGAUGAUGCGAGGGAGGAGUCCGGAAGCUGCCAGUUGUCAUGUGGAGGAGUUUCGGUUUGUCACGAAGGAUAGUUUUAUUAUUUCCUUAAUUAUUUGCAUCGUUUUGUAUACGGAUUCCGUGUAAUUUGGAAUUCGAAUUCUAAUCGUGUCUGGUUGUAGCUCUUUGAGCAGGGUAUAAAUAUAAACCCUAGGACCUUGUAAUAAUCAAUCAAGAAAUCAAUCAAACACACGUUUUUACUCAUAUUCCAGCAUCUACUUUUCGACGACUUCGUCAUACUUUUUUCUUUUUAUUACGAGUUCUUAGGAAUUCGUCGACUUAAGCUCGGCGUGUUCUCGAGUUCCGCGUGAGUACCUCUUAGCCGUGACAUCCGGGCGCAUCGCUGUUGUCAGGACUAAAGUAUUCGAGUUAUCACCUUUGCCGAUAGCAAGGUCAAAUCGGCUGGCACGCCUUAACGUUUGAAUCGGGUAUUAGCCCUUUGUGUUUGCAGAUCAGUUUUGCAUCAACACAUCUUUUGGCACGCCCAGUGGGACAGAUUCAAGAUCAAGAUCAACAUGUCAAUCUCUGACCUCGAUCAAGAGAACGUCAUCCCCGUGACGGAGGCCAACCUCAAGGAUGAGCAAAAGCAAGCUAUUGCCCAAGCCAUGGAAGAGUUCAAGCAGCAAUGCCUGAGGUCUUUCAGCAUAAACAGGAGCGGCGAAGUGGUCCAGAAAGAUGCACUGCCGGCACCACGGCAGGUCACCUUUGACGCCAAUCCUGGCAAGCUUCAAGAUAUGGUUGACAAUGCCAUCAAUCGAGCGUUGAUUAACCAAGCUGGUGUACUGUCUAAUACGGUUUUCAACGCCGUGGCAAGAACUUUCAAGGAAGGACAAAUCCCGCCAGAUUAUGUGGGGCCCUCCCAUCAUCAGCCAACGGCACCAGAGGUCACGGCUCCAUCGGCUGCCUUGACGAAUGCAAGUGCACAGUCUGCCGUCCCUCCAAGUACAUUAGGGACUACUGGUGCACUAUCUAUGCCGAUGGCAACCAACCCACAAAUUUCAGUUGGGCAGCAUAAACUGACAACAGAUAUGUUGGCAUCGGCAAUGUCAGGGUUGACUCUUCCUCCCAACUGGUGGGGUUAUGGUAUGCCUCCAGAGUUGACGCCGGGAACAUCACAAAUAACUGACAUGAGGGGCAAAACUCCUAUGACAUCGGCACCUCCCAAUGCGCCGGUGAACCAGAGUCCUCGGUAUACCACAACUACUACUGCAAGGCCUCACACUGGGAAUCCUCAAGAUUCAAUGUUUCAGAUGCCCAACGCAUCGGCAGAGUCAAUGCUGAUGCAGCAGAGGCCUAUGGCCCAGUCGGGGUAUGUCAAUUCAACGACGGUACCCAAUUACCAAUCAUCGGCAGCACCUAUGCCGAUGAACGCUAAUAAUGGAUGGCUUGGACAGCAAGCCUUUCCACAAUCGCCCCAGCAGGGUUAUCAGACUACAGGGUUCCAGCAAGGGCAGGUCUAUCCCGGAUUCCCAGGUCAGGGGAUUCCCAACCAGCCAAUAAAUUUUGGACAGCAACUCGGAGGACAGCCAAUCGGUGGACAGCAGUUUGGUGGUCCGCAGAUUGGAGGACAGGUGACCAAUACAAUGUUCCAUGCAGGUCACGUCCCGAACAGACACGUGGAGGUUCGCCACCAAGUGCCAGAUCCGCAGCCGCCUCAUCGGCAAGAUGCCGAUGCGUAUUGGGCCGAUAAGAUUGCUGAAGUAAUGAGGGAACAAUUUGGGAUAAAACCCAAAGUCAACACUUAUUCUUAUCGGACACCGUAUCCUCCAGCGUAUGAUUUGAUCCCGCUUCCACAUCGGUACAAGGUACCGGAUUUUACAAAGUUUUCCGGACAGGACGACAUGUCAACCAUGGAGCAUGUCAACAGGUUCAUUAUUCAAUGUGGAGAGGCUGGUAACAGGGACGAAUUGAGGGUUCGUCUAUUUUCAUCAUCAUUGUCUGGAUCGGCCUUUACUUGGUUCAUAUCAUUACCUCCCAACUCAGUAAUUACAUGGGCCGAUCUAGAGAAGCAAUUCCACAAAUACUUCUUCUCGGGGGUUCAUGAGAAGAAGAUCACCGACUUGGUCAAGUUGAGGCAACGUAAUGAUGAGUCGGUUGAGGGAUUCGUGCAGAGGAUACGAGAGGUCAAGAAUAAAUGCUAUAGCCUGGUUCUGGAUGAUCGGCAGCUAGCCGAUUUGGCGUUCCAGGGUUUGUUGCCACAUAUCAGGGAUAAGUAUGCCUCUCAGGAGUUUGAAAGUUUAAGUCAUUUGGUGCAGAGGAUAUCUGAUCAAGACAUCAAGCCUUUCGAGCCUAAGAGGGCAUGGAAUAAGAAAGUGUCAUUUGUUGAUGAAGCAACAAGCUCAGAUUCCGAUGAGGAACCAGUAAUCGGUUUGGCAGAGUGGGUAAAAAACAAGAAGCCGAUGUCCUGUCCUUUUGGGCAGAAGGAACCAGAGAAGUUUGCCUUUGACACCGCCAAGGCCGAUAGGAUAUUUGACUUUCUACUUCAGGAAGGUCAAAUCAAACUGUCACCUAACCAUGUGAUCCCAUCGGCAGAAGAGUUGAAGAGGAUGAGAUAUUGCAAGUGGCAUAAUGCAACUUCACAUGACACCAAUGAGUGCAAAGUAUUCAGACAGCAGCUGCAAUCGGCUAUAGAGUCCGGGAGAAUCAAGUUUGACAGCUCCAAAGCCCAGAAGCCGAUGAAGAUAGACCAACAUACUUUCCCGACAAACAUGUUGGAUGCUAAGGGGAAGGCUAAGGUCUUAACGUCGGAGACAGCUGAGAAGAGUGCAUCGGUAGAUCCUCAGCAUCAAGUUACUACUGCCGAUGCAAGAAGUAAGGGCUUGGUCCAGGAAGGAACUAGCUCAGGAAGGCUUCCUCGAUCUGGUAUCGUCAUAACUCAUAGGAGGCCUCGAGAAAAAUGGCAACAACGGGAAGAUCGGUAUCGGCGCCAGCAGGAAGAUUAUCAACGGGAAGAAGAAAGACGCCGACAGGAGUGGAAUCGGCACAGGGAUCAUUGGAAUUGCCCAUUCUUCAUCCAUUGUUGGGAGGAAAAUAUCAAGCUUCCUACUGUCAGAGACUGCCCUGAAUGCAACGGUUAUGAUCGGUACGAUAGGAACGAUCGGCGUUAUCAUGAUGAUGAACGGCGAGCUAAUGGGCCGAUCAGAGGAAGGGUGUCAGUUCGUGACCGGCUGGGGGGCAGAUUCAGUGGGCACAACAGACUUAGUGACCGUGUCCAGUAUUUUCCCAGGAACCAAGAGGAGCUCGAAGGAAUGGCUGAUGCGCGGGUUCCCGAUGAAUUCAUAUUUUGCAGGGAUGCUAACACGCAUCGCAUGGAGUCAAGGGAGAACCGACGCCCGACGGCAAGGCAAAGGCCACUUCCUCCAUGGUGCCCUCGAGGAUUAACCAAGACACAGAAAAGGAGAUUGCAACGAGAAAGGCAAGAGGAGCUAAACAAGGGAGAGAACUCUGGAAGUCGGCAGCCGUCAGACACUAAGAGGGAAGGUCCAUCAGCAGGCGUCAACAUGGUCUUCAUGUUGCCGAUGGAGUUUCUUGCACCAGCCAGUGACGAUGAGUUGGAAUUUUCUGAUCAGAUAGCUCAGUUGGCUCUGGAUCCGAUGACGGCUAUCUUUGAGAAACCUGCCGAUGACGAGAGGCAGCAUCUUAAAGCUUUGUUCCUCAAAGGAAGGGUUGAUGGGCAGCCAAUGACCAAGAUCCUAGUUGAUGGUGGAGCUGCUAUUAUUAUUAUGCCGUAUGCAGUAUAUCGGAAGCUUGGGAAAGGGGAUCAAGAUUUGACCAAGACCGAUAUGAUGCUCAAAGACUUUGAAGGAAACGUGUCUCCAGUGAAGGGGGCGAUAUGUGCAGAGUUGACCAUUGGCAGCAAAACCUUGCCGACAACUUUUUUCGUGAUCAGCGGAAAAGGUGCCUACAAUUUAUUAUUGGGGAGAGAUUGGAUUCAUGCCAAUUGUUGUGUCCCAUCUACCAUGCAUCAGUGCUUGGUUCAGUGGGUAGGUGACAAGAUUGAGAUUGUCCCAGGAGAUUCUUCUUAUGUUGUCGCAUCGGCAGAAGCGGAUACUUACGAAAGGACCAGGUGCAUUUCAGGAGAAGUUUGGGAGAAAGAUUUUCUCAAAGUUGCCGAUUAUGAGAUUCCACCGAUCCAAGCAGUCGGUUCUGACGAUGAUUUUUAAUGGAUAGAUUCGCCGAUGAUGGAAAAUUAGGCCAGGGAUUCACAUCGGCCGAUGAUUUGGUAGAAGUAGAUAUAGGUAGUGGUGAUAAGCCUAGGCCUACUUUUAUUAGUGCUAAAUUAGAUCCUGAGUGUAGGCGACAAUUGACUAGUUUGUUAAAGGAAUAUAAAGAUUGCUUUGCUUGGGAUUAUACAGAGAUGCCUGGUUUAGACCGAUCAAUUGUUGAACAUCGGUUACCCAUCAAGUCUGGAUUUCGGCCACAUCAGCAACCAGCCCGCCGAUGUAAUCCUAACAUUCUACCUGAUAUUAAGGCCGAAAUCACUAAACUUAUUGAAGCUAAGUUUAUUCGGCAGUGUCGGUAUGCCGAAUGGAUUUCCAAUGUUGUUCCGGUUUACAAGAAGAAUGGGAAGCUUCGGGUGUGCAUUGAUUUCAGGAAUCUCAAUAAAGCUACGCCGAUGGAUGGAUACCCAAUGCCUGUCGCCGAUCUACUGGUUGAUGCUGCGGCUGGCCAUCGGGUCAUUAGCUUCAUGGAUGGUAAUGCAGGUUACAAUCAAAUAUUCAUGGCAGAGGAGGAUAUUCCAAAAACCGCAUUCAGGUGUCCUGGUCAUGUUGGACUAUUUGAAUGGAUAGUCAUGACUUUUGGGUUAAAGAAUGCUGGUGCUACUUAUCAAAGGGCUAUGAAUUUUAUAUUUCAUGAGUUCAUCGGCAAGCUCGUAGAGAUUUAUAUUGAUGAUGUGGUGGUUAAGUCUGGAGAUUUCUCAAAGCAUCUUGCUGAUUUACGAAAAGUGUUGGAGUGCACAAGGAAGCAUGGAUUGAAGAUGAAUCCCAACAAGUGUGCAUUUGGCGUAUCGGCAGGGCAGUUUCUUGGUUUCAUGGUACAUCAGAGGGGUAUUGAAAUUAGUCGAAGAUCUAUUGAUGCCAUCAAUAAAAUAGUGGCCCCUACCAAUAAAACCGAGCUCCAAUCCUUGAUCGGCAAGGUGAAUUUUAUCAGAAGAUUUAUAUCGAAUUUAUCUGGGAGGAUUCGUGCCUUCAGUCCUCUUCUUAAAUUGAAAGCCGAUCAAGAGUUUGUUUGGGGAGAAGAACAGCAGUUGGCUCUGGAUGAAAUCAAGAAGUAUCUAGUAAAUCCUCCAGUUUUAGUUCCACCUCAACAAGGGAAGCCCUUCAAAUUGUAUUUAUCUACCGAUGGAUCGGUUAUCGGUUCAGCUUUAGUUCAAGAAUUUGAAGGGAAAGAGAGGGUAAUUUAUUAUUUGAGUAGGAGGUUGAUUGAUGCUGAAACCAGGUAUUCGGCCAUUGAGAAACUGUGCUUAUGCCUAUAUUUUUCAUGUAUCAAGCUGAGACAUUACCUGUUGUCGGCCGAAUGUGCUGUUGUUUGCAAAGAUGACGUGGUCCGAUACAUGCUAUCUAUGCCGAUUAUGAGUGGUAGGAUCGGUAAAUGGAUUUUAGCGCUGUCGGAGUUCGAUUUGCGUUACGAAUCGGCUAAGGCAGUCAAAGGGCAGGUUAUGGCCGAUUUUGUGACUCAGCAUUGCGGUCUAGUGGAAACCUUGGAAAUUGCACCCUGGACGCUCUUCUUUGAUGGAUCUACCUGUGACCGGGGGGCAGGAAUCGGCAUUGUAUUAGUUUCUCCUAAGGGGAGGAAGUAUGAGUUUUCCUUGCCGAUUGUUGCUACAUCAACAAAUAAUCAGGCUGAGUAUCAAGCUCUGAUCAAGGGAUUGGAGUUGUUAAGAGAAGUUCGUGCUGAUGCUGUUGAAAUAUUCGGGGAUUCUAUGUUGGUUAUAAAUCAAUUGGCCGGAAGCUAUGAAUGCCGAAGUGAAGUUCUCAUAACCUAUUUCGAGAGAAGUAUGCAACUGUUAAAGGAAUUCAAGGACUUCCGAUUGGAGCAUGUUCCCCGAUUGUAUAAUGAAGACGCUAAUCGGUUAGCUCAGCAUGCCUCGGGAUAUCAGCCAAUGAUUAAUGCGACAUCGGCAGUCGGUGCCGGUGAUUGGAGGAAAGAAAUUGUUGAUUAUCUAAAAGAUCCAUCCAAAAAAGUUGAAAGACGGGUUCGAUUUCAAGCAACCAAGUAUGUGCUCCUUGAAAAUGAAUUGUAUUAUCGAACUGUCGACGGAAUUCUUCUCCGAUGCUUGGGUGAUGAUGAAGCCAGAAGUUUGAUGGGGGAAAUCCAUGAAGGAGUGUGUGGAGCGCAUCAGUCAGCUUUUAAGAUGAAGUGGAUGAUUCGAAGGAAUGGAUAUUUUUGGCCAACCAUACUUGAAGAUUGUUUUAAAUAUUUCAAGGGAUGUCAAGGUUGUCAAAAGUUCGGUAAUAUCCAGAGAGCACCCGCAUCGGCUAUGAAUCCUAUAAUAAAACCUUGGCCGUUCCGGGGAUGGGCCAUCGAUCUGAUCGGCCAGAUUUAUCCACCAUCUAGCAAAGGGCAUAAGUUCAUUCUAGUUGCCACUAACUAUUUCACUAAGUGGGUCGAAGCUAUUCCUUUGAAGAAAGUCACAUCGGCCAAUAUGAUUGAUUUUGUGAAGGAGCAUAUUAUUUACCGAUUUGGGAUUCCCCAAACGAUUACUACCGAUCAGGGCACCAUGUUCACGUCAGGGGAGUUCGAUGAAUUCGCAAUCGGUAUGGGAAUUAAAGUGUUGAAUUCUUCUCCUUACUAUGCUCAAGCCAAUGGGCAGGCCGAAGCGUCUAACAAAGGAAUUAUCAAGCUUAUUAAACGAAAGAUUGAAGAAAAUCCUAGGCGGUGGCAUACAUUGUUAAAUGAAGCACUAUGGUCUUAUCGGAUGGCUUGUCAUGGAUCAACCAAGGUGUCACCCUAUCAAUUGGUGUAUGGACAUGAUGCAGUGUUGCCUUGGGAGAUUAAGGCUGGAUCUAGGCGAUUAUCUUUUCAAGAUCAAUUGGCUGCCGAUGAUUAUGCCACUUUGAUGACCGAUGAGUUAGAUGAUUUAGCAGGGCAUCGGUUAAAGGCUUUAAUGAGUAUAGAAGAAAAUAAGAAGAGAGUUGCUAGAUGGUAUGAUAAGAAAGUAAAGGCUAAGGAGUUUGCCGAUGGGGAUUUGGUAUGGAAGUUGAUUUUGCCAGUCGGGACUAAAAGUUCGAAGUUUGGGAAGUGGUCUCCUAAUUGGGAAGGUCCUUAUCGGAUAAGACACUCGGCUCCUGGUAAUGCCUAUAUUCUAGAAACUCUCGAAGGAGUUGAAUUUCCCAGAGCAUUAAAUGGCAAAUAUUUAAAGAAGUACUACCCUAGCAUAUGGGUCGAUGCAUAAAAGUUUAAGUGCCGAUAACACUCCUAUCGGCUGGAUUUAAAUGUUUGAGGGCAGACUUAAUGUUUCAAAAGGUGCCGAUAACAGUCUUAUCGGCUAGACUAAAAGCUAAAAGCGGGAAAACAAAGGUGUGUUGCCGAUGAAAGCUUCAGAUGUUCAGCAGCGCUUGGAUUGCCGAUAUGGUGCGCAGCCGGAUCUGAUUGGCUGUCUCUAUCUCUUUGAUAUCAUCAUCGGCUGAACCUUCUAUCGGCUUCAGCUUCCUCUUCAACUGCAGCGCUUUGCGACCGUGGACGUUUCGUUCUUGUUCAAGGUGCUUGAUGGUCUCCGGCAGUUGACUCUCUUCUUGCUGGGCUUGGGACAGAGCAUCCUCUACUUGCUUGAGUUCGGCCAGUAGAGCUUCUCUUUUUGCCGAUAGAUCAGAUACUUUUUGCUUCAGUGCAUCACCUGAGGACUUUAAGGUGCCGAUGUUCUUAUGUUUCUCAUCGGCUAAGAGUUUUUCUUUCAUCAUCUCCUCAGAAAGCUGGAUUUGAGCGGCUCUAUCGGCAAGGCGUCGAGUGGCUCUCUGGUACUGUAGCUGGCGGCUUUCUAGGUGUGCAGCAUGGAAGAGGGUUUCUUCAGCAUCGGCCGGAAGUUGGCCUCUAAGGGUUUUGAACAGGGCCUUGGCUGGGUCAGAAUCGUUGACCAGUUGAGCUGUGUCUUGAUGAAGUAUGGCCGAUAGCUCCUCCAGCUUAGCCCUGGUUUCUGCCGAUACAAUCCCAAUUGCCCGAGAGGAGCUUGCUUCCUCACCUUCUUCUUCGAAGAUAUCAAUGGCGAAGGAGAAUAAGCUGUCGGGAGAAUCUUGUUCCUGAAAAUGAGAAUGAAAUAAGUCAUUUUUAUGGUCAAAGCUUCGGCAGACGAUACUGGUGGAAAAAUUGGAUGACUUACUUGUUUCAAGGCAAUUUCUUGCCUUUGACUCAAAGAUAGCGAUGGAGCUACAGGUUGAUCGGCAAAUGUUGCCGAUGGAACGAUAUCGACUGAAAGAAGACAGGAAGGGUUAUGAGACUAAAUGAGAAUAAGUUUAUCGGCGGAAGUAUUGUUGAAAUAUGUUACCCGGAGGAGGAACAACAGUUGUCUGAAUCGGGGAAACCGCCGAUGAUAUAACUGGACCUGCCGGGCCAGUUGUUUGUUCACCCACGUCAGCUGAUGUACCUUCUAUUUGAGGUUCUUCCUGCUGGGGUUCUUCCAUCUGUGGUGCUUCCUGCAUUGGUUGGGGAGAUGGUGCUUGAUGUGUCUGGACUUCUGGAGAAGAAGGGGAAGAUUCCACCAGGAUUGGAGACACCGGAAGAG